CUUCAUCAUCAUUGUCUUCUCCUUUCCCAGUUGGAAUUGUUCCAUUGUUAUCAUGGCACUCUGUCGUUAGAGGAAAUCCACAAAGUGCGAGGUUGCCCUGGUAAAUAGACGGAUCAAUCAAGGUUUGAAACUGGUUGCCUGUUGGGAUUUUCCCUGACAAGUUAUUGUGUGCCAGAUUCAGGUGAACCAAAAAGGUUAUGGAAGCCAUGCUCAUUGGAAUUGGACCAGAAAGUUUGUUUUUUGAUAGGUCGAGAGUCUCCAACCACUGCAAGUUUCCAAUCUUUUCUGGUAUAUUUCCCCCCAAAUUAUUGCUGGACAAAUUCAAGGUUCCCAGUUUCAGAAGGCUUGUUAGUUCUAUUGGAAUCUCUCCUGAUAAGCUAUUAUUGGACAGAUCCAGACUAUUCACAAGGUAGAGAGUGCUAUAGUAUUCCAGUGCUCUUCCUUUUGCAACAAGUUUCAAGCGUCCCUCAUACCGUUCUAGAUCAUCAUCAGAAAGUUCAGAUUUGAAGCCACUCAAGUUCCCAAAACAGGGAGGAAUGAAUCCUGACACAUGGUUGUGUGAGAGGUCCAGUAUGUGAAGCGCGGAAAGGGCACAGAUUUCUGAAGGAAUAUUACCGCUGAAGAAGUUGGACUGCAAGGCUAAGAUCAACAGGGAUGGCAUGCUUUCUCCUAUCCAGGAUGGAAUGUUUCCAGAAAAUUUGUUAUCACCAAGAUCAAGGCUUUCCAAGACACUGCAGUUUUGCAGCUGGGAAGGAAGUUCACCAGAGAGAUUGUUGUUGGAUAGCACCAAGAAUCUGAGUGCCGUGAGGGAACCCAGUGAUCUUGGUAUUGUACCUGAGAGGCUGUUGUUUGACAUAUCUACAAUAUACAGGGAAGGCAUCUUGUUCCAGAACUGAGGAAUUUCUCCAGAUAAAUUAUUAUUGGAGAUAACCAAGGUGAUCAAAGCCUGUAGAUCACCCAUAGACAAGGGAAUGCUGCCAUUCAGAGAGUUCCAAGAGAUAUCUAAAUCUGUCAAAAUGGGCAUUACUUGACCGAUGUUCUGAGGAAUUGGUCCAGAAAAUAGAUUUCCCCUCAGAUACAGUGUACUUACAUUAGACGACCAGAGUGGGAGAGGACCAUCAAAGAGGUUUGAACUCAAAUCAACAUUGGCUAGGUAGCUGAACACUAAUGAGUUUGGAACUCUGCCACUUAACUGAUUAUAAGCAAUGUCUAGUUCACUGAGCUGCAAAUCUAAUUUCCAUAACCAAUCUGGUAUAGUACCUGAAAUUCCUGCAUUAUUCAGCACUAUGGUGGUCAACUCAUUUUGAGUUCUGAGCCAGGUAGGAAAUUUGGGACCCAAUUGGCAAGAUCUAAGGUUGAUGUAUGUGAGUUUGAAAGGAGGAGCCCAGUCAGAGGAGAUGUUGAAAACCAAAGAAACAUUUGGAGAACUUUUAGUAAUAGACAACUGCUUUAAGCUUGAGAGGUUGGCAAAAUGAGCUUCUGUUAUGACACCUUCCCAUGAGUUCUCAUUGAGCUCUAGCACGACCAGUGAUGAGAGUUGUCCAAGGCUGUCUGGGAUGAUCCCACCCAUUUGAUUCUGCGAGAGGUACAAUUCCUGUAAAGAGGAUAAGCUCCCAAUUGAUUCUGGAAUUGAACCGCGAAAUGAAUUAGACCAUAAUUGAAGAUAUCUUAAAUUCUUAAGAUGCCCCAACGAAUCUGGCAGGUUUCCAGUCAGUUUAUUGAAUCCCAAAUCCAGAUUCUCUAAGGUGCUGUAAGAGCAUGCAGAUAAGCCAUCGAGGAACUCAGCUAUCUCACCAGAAAGUUUGUUAACAGAAAGAAUCAAUGUCCGCAAAUAGCACAAAUUUCCCAGUGUUCUCGGUAACUCACCUUCAAUGUUGGAAUUCUUGGACAAAUCAAGUAGCUGGAGAGAAGUGAAGUUCUGGAAUGCAUCUGGUAGUCCACCUUGGAGGUUGUUGGAGUUGAGAUCAAGGUACACAAGGCUACUGAGAUUAAAUAACCAGUGAGGAAUGGUGGAGUCAAACCCAUUGUUUGAGAGAUCAAGAAUGGAAAGAGAGGUAAAAUUGAGAAAUGGAAGAGAAAGAGAAAGGUUGGAAAGUUGACAGUUGGGCAUGUGCAACUCCAAAAGAGACGGUAAAGUAUUAACGGUCUGGAGCCAGUAGGCUGCAGCCUUGCUGAGAUCAAUACCUCCCAAGUUAAGGUACUUCAAAGAAGAAAGGCCUGACAGCCAUUCCAGGCCAUUCUUGUUUGGUUCGAUAGAGUAUGUGUUGAGAUCAAGGUAGCGCAAGUUUGAGAGGUUUGCAAUAUUUGGAGGGAUGAUACCACCAAAGGAUGCUCCAGAGAGAUUGAGAUAUCUCAACUUCCUAAGCGAUCCAAUGAAUUUUGGAAUUUCCAUUCCUUCAAAAUUAUUCUUGCUGAGGUCUAGAUAAUUCAGAUAUUUCAAGCUGAGCAAAGAAGGAUUGAUCUCACCGCCCAACUCACUAGCUGUUCUAUCGCCCUCCAAACUGUUUGGGAAUGGGUUGCCAAGUUUGAGCUUGAUGACGCGUCCAGUCCUGUUAUAGCAGCUAACUCCUCUCCAUUUACAACAAUCUUCUCCGACCCAAGAUGACAGCCGACCUGAAGGAUCUGUGAGGCCUUGUUUGAACUUAAGAAGUCCUUCCUUCUCAACUUCUAGGCAAUUCAUGUUCUGAUUGGCAUCACAUGACCUGAGUUUAAUUGUUCCUUGGGACAAAAACCCAGAUAGUAGAAGGAGUGAAAGAAAUUGAGUAAUGACAUUGCACAUGAUUAUGUUAUGAUCAAAGUGUAAGAGGGAGAGUUUCUCUUCCAUCCAACAGAAUGCUGAAUUAGUCCACUUAUAGAACAAAUUAGGUGCCUGAGGGGAAGAUUUGGUUGGUUGAUGUGGUUAGGACUUUUGACAACCACAUGGUGGCUGCUAGAAGUCAAUAUGGAAAUGCUUUGCCUUUUUGAGAUGCUAGAAUGUGAACAUUUUUUUAUAGGUUACGAUGUGAACAUUAGAAACUGUACGAGGAAGUGUGAUACGCAUUACCUCUUUCCAAAAGGAGGAAGAAUUUUCUGAUAUCCUCACCAGCUACUAUUCUGCCGAACUUGAGAACUCCAUUCCUAUUUGACAUUAUCCUGACUGCUAUAGCCUAAAUUUGUUUCUCAGUGGUAAUGUUAGCUUCUCUAUACACAUGAUCUUGUCAAAUGACAAACUACGAUAGCCGACUCCUGGUGGGGUUUGUUAGCAGCCACAAUAGUAAAAUUGAAUGGAGUAGGGAAUUUGAGCUGUUGAAGGGUUCCCGUCCUUAAUGAAAAUGUCUUUGUCUUCUUUGUUUUGUUGUAUGGCCUCUUUGACACGCGAAAGUCUGAACACGGGUGCUUUAAUAGGUUUAGAUGUGGACAUCAAAACUUUAAUAGAAUGUGUAACAAUGUCAUGUUCUAAGAGGAAGAAAGUUUUAGACUUUAGGCAUCUGGAGCUGCCGGCCUUGGUUUAGGAACAUUUGCUGAAGUCUUGCUCCUAUUUUGGUUUAGGAAAAAACACAUAAGUUUAAUAAUUCAAAUAAAAUUAAAUAUGUCGUGAUAAAACAUCCCUUUCAUAUCUUCAUUUGCUAUUCUAAACGAGUGACUUAUUUUACCCUAUAUUCCCAUUUAACACAAUUCUUACAAUCAUAGCCAAAAUUUGCUAUAGAAUCAAAGAGAAAUGUGCUUGUCAAAGAGUUAUUAAUUUCAUAAAUAUUUUGCAUGUCAUUAUAAUUAUUUAUUGAGGACCCUAUAUUUUCAUUAGUAGGAACAUUUCUAAAUCACUUUCAAUCUUCAUUUGCCCUUCUCUUGGCUAUCAAAGACCAUCUCUCAAAUUGAUACUCUUUGUAGAUGCAUUACCCAUUUGUCUUGAACUAGCUAUGCCCUCGAAAUCAAAACUAGUAUAACUCAAAAAAAUUAUUUUUAUUUAUUUUUAAUAAAAUAAAGCAAUUAUACUCUUAUAAGGAUUUUAAUAUCCAAAUUUUAUUAAAAUUAUUUAAUUUUUUAUUAAAAAAAUAUUUUUAUUUGAAUUAAGUUCAUUUUCUACUAUAUAAGUUUAUUUUACAUUUUUUUUCUUUUUAUAGAAUCAAAAUAAAAAAUUAUUUUGACUUUAAUUACAAAAUCCAACGGAGGAGGUGCUGAGAUCAAGGUAGCGCAAGUUUGAAAGGUUUGCAAUAUUUGGAGGGAUCAUACCACAAAAGCAUACUCCAGAGAGAUUGAGUUGAUUCAAUGAAUUUUGGAAUUCCCACUCCUCCGAAAUUAUUCAUGCAGAGAUCUAGAUGAUUCAGAUAUUUCAAAUGGGGAAUUGUAAUAGGCUUUUUGGCAUUGUGGGGAUUGAGGAUAAGAUGGACCGAAACCAUUUCCAAGAGCGUACAGUUGAAAUUCCUGUGGCUGUCCUGACUGGAAAGUUUGUGCGCUCUUCCACAUCCUAAGGCAUAAACGUGACAAGUUUAGUCAUGUAGGGAUUGUGUCAUCAAAUUUUCUCCUCUUCCACAAGACCAUAUGAACCAACUAGAGAAGCCUACUAGAACGUGGACCCAAAAAGAGGUCAUGUCUUGUAUUAAAAGUAAAUUAGACUUGUUGGGUAAAGCUUCUAGCGUACCAAACACCGGUAGACCCAUUCAUUGACCUCAAGUCUUCCAUCCACACUUAUUAAGAACCUGAAUUUCUACGCAUAGCCUCGGAUCGCCAACGGUUUAGGCCUAAGAUGGGUAGCUUCUGUCAGCCUAUGUCCAAGUUGGUUUUCAGAGUCCGAGUCCUCAUUUGGGUGCUGAAAAGAGAUGCUCUUGUGGACAUCAUUUCAAGCUCGGUUAGAAGAGAGGGUUGCUUGAUGAAGAGUAAUCUUCAAAUCUAUAUGUUAUUUUGAAAAGUAAUUAUCUAAUUUAAUUGGUGGUUUGUUGAUAAUACAAAAUUUCAUCACAUUUUUUUAGGCGUAUGUCAAUAUUAAUAUUCUAAGUGAUGAGUAAAUGUCAAAUAAUUAGAAUAUUUAUUCUCAUUUUCCGUUUCCAAGUGAUCUCUUCUUGGUGAGGAUCUUUGAAAAAGGAUAUUUAAAAAAAUUAGUUUAAAAUCUAUGAAAACUUGUGAAGGGUCAAGUUGGCACAAGGCUUAAGUCACCUUUGUCCACUGCAAAGAGUAGCUGGCUUUCCCUAACCCUUUUCCAAUACAAUAUCAUAGGUAUGUGUGGAUCCCGCAGUUCGGCUCAAUGCGUUUUCCACUCGAUGGCGAACUCGAUUUUUAUUUUGAAAAGUUGAUUUUAUUUGAUUAUGAAAACUGACUCGGAGUCACCACUUAUUUUUGUUUUAUUUUUAAAAGGGUAAACAAAAUAAGAAAGAAACCCUAAGUGUGACUCCUUAUUUUGGAAAAGGUGAUCUGUAAAAAACCGGAUUGGGCUCGAGGGUCAGGUUAUUUAUCAGGAAGGUACGGUUAUGAACAGUAGCACCCCUCUAAGUCCCUAAAGUCGGGUCUCUAUUAAUACAAUGAAACUGACGUGGCAACCAACGAGAAAGUCAAUGGAAAUUCACCUAAAUCAUGCACAAUAUGAGAAUCAAAACACGCAAUAGGAAUUGACUAGAAUGGGAGUGGAUGCGUACCUCGGCCACGAGCCACAAUGCGCUAUCAAGAAACGGGAUUAGUACACAAUUAAUGAGUACAAAAUAUAGUUCAUGCAUAUCGGAGUGCAAAAUGAAGAUCAAGCAAAAUACAUUAAGUACAACAGUUGACGAUCAAAAGGGAUCAAACAUAGGGCCCUCAUCAAAGCCCAAUUUAUUGUUCAUGAACUAGUCCCCCAAAUUUCGUGUUUUAGAAUUAUGAAGAAUUCAUUAUUACUUAUGUAAAAAUCAAAAGAAAUAGAACAUUAUUUAAAAAUCAGAGUGAAAUUAAAGCUAUUCGAGAUAAAACUGGAUUUUUGGAGAUUUAUUUGGAAAUUAGAGUCUCGAAAAUUAUUUGAAGAUUGGAGUCUUGAAAAAUUAAAUUUAAGAAUUGGAAUUUUGGAUAUUAAAUUUGAAAGAAAUUAGACUUUUGGAAAUCGGAAAUUAAGUUCAGAAAUUGGAAUUUGGAAGAAUUGUUUAAAAUGGAAUUUCAAAAUAAAUACCUAAAAUAAUAAUAAUUAAAUAGAUUAAUGUGAAUUUUGGAAUUUUGGAAUUAGAAAUUAAAUCGGGAGUCGGAAAUUUUAAUGAAUUGUUUAAAAUGAAAUUUUAGAAUAAAUAAAUAAAAUAAUAAUAAUUAAAUAGAUUAAUGUGAAUGUUGGAAUUUUGGAAUUAGCGGAAGUGGAAAUUUUAAUGAAUUGUUUAAAAUGGAAUUUUAGAAUAAAUAAAUAAAAUAAUAAUAAUAAAUUAAUGUGAAUAUUGGAAUUUUCAGAAAUAGAAAUUUAAUUCGAAAAUCGAAAGUUUUAAAUGAACUGUUUAAAAUGGAAUUUUAGAAUAAAUAAAUAAAAUAAAAUAAUUAAAUAGAUUAAUGUGAAUAUUGGAAUUUUUGGAAUUAGAAAUUAAAAUCAGAAGUGGAAAUUUUAAUGAAUUGUUUAAAAUGGAAUUUUAGAAUAAAUAAAUAAAAUAAUAAUAAUAAAUUAAUGUGAAUAUUAGAAUUUUCAGAAAUAGAAAUUUAAUUCGGAAAUCGAAAGUUUUAAAUGAAUUGUUUAAAAUGGAAUUUUAGAAUAAAUAAAAAAAUAAUAAUAAUUACAUAGAUUAAUGUAAAUAUUGGAACUUUUAGAAUUAGAAAUUAAAAUUGGAAGUCGGAAAUUUUAAUGAAUUGUUUAAAAUAGAAUUUUAGAAUAAAUAAAUAAAAUAAUAAUAAUUAAAUAGAUUAAUAUGAAUAUUGGAAUUUUUGGAAUUAGAAAUUAAAAUUGGAAGUCAGAAAUUUUAAUGAAUUGUUUAAAAUGGAACGAGAAUAAUGAUUAAAUAAAUAAACGUGAAUUUUGGAAUUUUUGAAAUCGGAAGUUUUAAAGAAUUGAUUAAGAAUGGAGUUUUGAGAUAAAUGAAUGAAAUAUUAGGGAUUAAAUACAUUAAAGUACGUAUGGGAAUUUUCGGGUUUUAAUUCAGAAAUCGAAAGUUUUAAAGAAUAGAUUAAAAAUGGAAUUUUAAAAUAAAUGAAUGAAAUAUUAGUGAUUAAAUAAAUUAAAGUGAGUAUGAGAAUUUUCGGAAUUUAAUUCUAUAAUCAAGAAUUUUAAAGAAUAGAUUAAAAAUGGAGUUUUAGAAUAAAUAAAUAAAAUGACAGAGAUUUAAAUAAAUUAAUAUAAAAUUAGAAUUUCGGAAAUUAAAAAAAAAAACGGAAUUUUGAAGGGUUUUAAAUUUGUCAUGUGAAAUAAAGGGCCAUGCACAGAUGCAUAAACAGGCUUAAGGGCAUUGAGAUUAUGCUAUUGGGCUGGACCCAAAAUGGAAAGGUACUCUUAAAGGUCAUUCAUGGGCUUGAGCUGCAUUAAACAGCUUAGGCCCAACUAAAAAAACCAUCCCCAUGAACGCACUGCUCUCCUCCCCUCUCCUCUCUUUCCCUUCUUUACUCCGCCGGAGGGUCCUCUGCCGUGUCCGCCGUGAACGCCUGGCACGCCACUGACAGGUUCGUCUUCAUCCUUUCCAUCAUCGGCGAGCGACAAGGGCUCACGGCGGCGACGUAGCCCCGUUACCCGCUAUAGCCCUGCACCGCAUGGUCGGAUAUCGUGACCGCCAUGCCGCCGCUGCACUCACCAACGCCAUUGAUUCAGCGGUCCUUGCUUCUAGGCUUAAAUGUCCAUAUCCUAGAAUCGAUCUAUGGACUCAGUGCGGAUGGGAUAAACAAGCUCAACAUAUCCAUCCAUCAUCAAACCCAAACGGGAAUCCGACCAUUUAUAAGAAUAGAGACCAUGAGUGGUAAAGAGAACAAACAAGAGAAAAUCAACAAAAGGAAAACAGAGCAUGCGUAUGCGAGCAGUCAUAUGCAACCUAAACAAUCAUGUGGCCUUAGAUAUCCACAGAAAAAAUUAUCCAAUGGUCCUAAAAGCUAUAUAUAUAUAUAAAAGGAUAGAACCUUCUGAACUGAGAAAACACAAAAGAGAGUCGAAAUCAUACCUGGGCCGAAACUGAUAAGCUUCUCCUUUGCUCCUCUCGAAAACCUCUCUCUGCGAAUGCCCUUAGGUAGAAUUUCUUCCUUCAAACACCACUUUCCUUCUCCAGCCCCGACAUCUCGCUUGCCAUUCCUCUUUUCCUCAAGUUGCUCGUCACUCUCUCGCCACCAUGCUCUCCUCCCCAAGCUCUCUAAAACUCUCCCUGUCCCACCCCGUAACUGCCUCUCUUCUUCUUUUUGCAAAACUCCCUUCUUUCUUCUCCUUGCCACCCACUCUCUACCCCCUGUCUCAAUUCGGCCGCCUCAUUCAGCUGAAAUCCCAGGUAUUCAGAAAAGUAAACAUAAAAAAAAAAAGAAAACAUCGUUCGGGGGGGGGGGGGGGGGGGGUGCUUCCAUGAAACUGUGUCCCGGACCUCUUUAACUUCUCUUAAAAAAUGGAGGCUCUUCACUUGAAGUUGGUUAUAUCAUAUAUGGAAAGUUGAAAAUUAUAUCCCACUUGUAAAAAAAAAAAAAAAAAAAGGCAAAAAGAACGCUCAAGUCUAAAGGGGAUUUCUGAGAAUUUUGGUAGCAGCCUAUACUGAGAUGAGAGGUACUACUUGUCAGUUGUUGCUACUUCAACAUUAUAUAAUAAUAUGCCCACUUGGGCUUUAUGUUGGAAUACUGGAUUAAAAUCUCAGUAGUGACUGAGCAAUUAAUUUUUACCAUUUUUCUAUUGAAGUCCAUUUCCUGAAGAACUUUUAGUGAUUUGCUAAAAGAAAAAAGGAAAAAGACUUCAAGAAAAAGUAGGCUUAGCUUUGAAUAAAUAAAUAAAUAAAAAACACUAGAUAAGUUAUGAUUUUGAUAGUGGAGUUUCCAACUGUUUAGUUGUUGGCAUUCCAGAUUCCAAUCCUUGAAGACUUAGUCUUUGCUGAAGAUUAGCUCAAGUUUGUUAUGACUCUGUUUGUCUUAAAUUUCAAAAAUAGGUGUAACAGCCUAAAUAAAUAUGCAGGAAAGAUAGGAAGAUUUUGUUAUUUUUCUUGUAUAAAUAUCUCAUCUCAAAUGGAAUAAAAUUAUCAGCUUCUAUCUAUCAUAUUUGUAGCCUUUUCUUCAUUAAGUUGUAGUUUUAUACCUGUAAUUUCUCCAACAAGUGGUAUCAGAGCCACAGUUGGUUGACCGAAAUUCUCUAUUGUACCAAAAUACUUAGCCUUUUUAUGUAGUAACUCUGGUCAAGAAAAACUAGAGAAAGAGUCACUACGGCUUUUGUAGUAUUCCGGGUAUCGUUCUCAAAGACUGGUUUAUGAAAAUUGUCAAUACUAGAAUAAAUGAAUUGUUUUUGUUUAAAUCCUUAAAUGAAAAAACAAUAUGUGAAUAAUGUGAAACUAAGUAAAAAAAAUUAAAUUAAUAAGAAAAAAUGAAUAUUGAUUUUAAAUUCAAUUGAUUUAAGUUUGGGGUUUUCCACAAUCCAACCUAGGGUAUAGAAAUUAGAGAAAAUAAGGGUAUUUUAAGUAAUAUGAUCUUAGGGUUUUAGGAUCCUUGGCCGUUCGCGAUUAAGUUGAGUUCUAUAACUCAAGAUUGCAUCUAAAACCUAAUUUUUCCUUUUUAAAACAGAUUCCUAAAACCAUCAAAUGAAUGAGAUUGAUUAUCAAUUUAAGAUUUGACUUUUUAACCCUUCCUACUCCUUAUAGCUUUGUUUAGGGGCAAAUAACGGUAGGGAAGACGAGGAUAACUAAUGAUCAAGAAUUACCAAGAAUCACUAGUAUCAAGUAAUAACCUACUGUAUCAUUCCCUAAGCGAACUCACAAGGAUAUGAUAAAAAAAAAAUGAUAAAUUGUCACCCAACCAAUAAUUAAUCUCAUUGUUAUAGUAAUUUACCCAUUGUCCCUAUAGGUUUUCUAGUCCUUAGGUUUUCAUGCUUCAAGCCCCAAGUUGGCUCUUAGCCUCUCAUGGGGGUGAUGUCACAUUCACAAUCCAUAAUAGGGUAAAAAUCCAUAAUUUGAAUCAAAAGAAACUAAAAACAAUAUAUUCAAUAGAGAAGAAAAAGAAAACAAACCAAAGUUCUCGUCUUCCACCUUCAAUGUCAAACUCUCCAGAAAAAAAUCCAAGAUCCCUAAAACCUAGAAUUGAGAGAGUUUAUAUAAUAUCCUCAAUUACCUAACAUGUGGCACACUCUCAUUGGCCACUUAUUACAAAAUAAUUUCCUAAAAAUGAUUAAAAAAUAAUAAAAUGGUGAUUUCUAGUCGUGUGGGGUCACCUAGGGCGGAUGGAGUGCUUUAGAUGCAAUUCCCGAGGUAGAGGAGGCAGAACAUCAAAGUGGUAGUGGGUGAAUUCGAAAUUGGUGUCAUUUCGAAGUGGAUUUCGAAUUCAUAAGUUGAAUUUCGAAAUCAUUUCGAAAUGACCCUCCAACUUGGUGCAGUUGUCUUCAAAUGGCUAUAAAUUCUUCAUUUCAGAUCCGAUUUGCAAACUGUUUGAAGUGUUGGACUCCUGACUUCCCAAGCUUCGAAACAAUAUAUAGUAUGUAUAUAAUGGACUCCAGAAAGUUCUCCAAAUUUUUCCUCAAAGCCAGAGUAUAUAAUGCCAUCAGAUUUUUGAGUUCUAAAUUUCCAUGCAGCUAAAUCUUGCUUCAUGCCUCAUUUCCCAUCCUUUCUUGCCUUCUUUCUUACUCCAUAAUGGUCAUUUAUCAUUUUCCAACCUCAUGAUAUCCUCGUUUUGCCUUUCCUUACGUUCAAUGAGUCUUGACUCACUUAUUUCCUCAUUUAGCCCUUUCUUGAUCUUUCAAAAUCUAAAGUCAUUCAUUUUGCACAAUUUUCUUCCCUUGAACCUGAGAUAAGUCUCCAAAGUAUAGAUUAAACUCAUGGAUAGGGCCUUAGCAUUGAUUUAGGUCAAGUUGGGUGAUUUGAAUGUCCUUUGGUGCACAAAUCAUAUCGAAUAUGUGCCAUUAUAACACAUAUUUUGGCUCCAAUCAUUGGUCUUACAGGACCUGUGUUAUGAGAGAAAACCAAGAAAGUUCACUUCAUAACCCAUUUGAAACCACACUAGAAAAUGGCAACCAGUAGCAUCUCUUUGUUAGCUCCUCAAAUCUUUGUGGGAGAAAACUAUCAAUUUUGGUCCGUAAAGAUGAAAACGUACUUGGAAGCAUUUGAUCUUUGGGAAGUUGUAGCUGAAGACGAACCAAUAGCUCCACUUCCGGCGAAUCCUACCUUAGCACAAAUUAGAGCUCAUACUAACGAAAAGACCAAAAAGUUUAAAGCUAAGACUUUAAUCCAAAAUUCAGUUGCUGACUCAAUAUUUCAUAGAAUUAUGAAUUGCAGGACAGCCAAAGAAGCCUGGGACAAGCUUAAAUUGGAGUAUCAAGGAAGUGAUAGAACCAAACAAAUGCAAGUGCUGAAUCUGAAAAGGGAUUUCGAGUCUUUAACCAUGCAAGAAGAUGAAACUAUCACCAAGUAUUCUGACAGAAUUGCUUUGAUUGUUAACAAAAUCAGGUCGUUUGGUGAAGAAUUUCCUAAUGCAAGGAUCGUGUAAAAGGUUCUUAUGACACUUCCUGAGAUGUUUGAGUCCAAGAUUUCAUCUCUUGAAGAAUGUAGGGACCUUUCACAAAUUUCACUUGUUGAACUAAUGAACGCACUCCAAGCACAAGAGCAAAGAAGAGCUUUGAGGCAAGAGAACGUCACAGAAGGUGCUUUUCAAAUGCAGACCCUACAAUCUAAUAAAGACAAAAACCAGUUUAGCAAGAAGAAAAGUAAAAGCAGAGAGAAUAGCAGCAAAGAAAGGGCCCAACAAAAGAAAUAUCCAACCUGCUCACAUUGCAAGAAGACUACGCAUCUAGAGAAAUACUGUUGGUGGAGGCCAGAUGCAAUAUGCGGCAACUGCAAACAGCUUGGGCAUGUUACCAAAGUCUGCAAAUAUAAAAAUAAAGGUCCUCAAUUUCAGCAAGCACAAGUUACUGAUGCAGAUUCGUAGGAGGAGAAACUCUUUGUAGCAUCAUGUUUCUCAAGUCAAGACUCUUAUAAUGCUUGGCUCAUUGAUAGUGGAUGCACACACCACAUGUGUCACAAUGCUACAAUAUUCAAGGACCUUGACAAAACCUACAACUCUACGGUGAAAGUAGGCAAUGGUGGAUAUGUGGAUGUCAAGGGAAGGGGCACGGUUGCUGUCAAAACAAAUUCAGGUAUCAAGCUCAUCUCUGAUGUGUUAUUUGUACUUGAUAUUAGUCAAAAUCUAUUGAGUGUAGGUCAAAUGCUUGAAAAGCAAUAUUCCCUACAAUUCAAAGACAACCAAUGCAUCAUCUUUGAUCCAUAUGGAGAGAAAUUGCUUUGUAUGAAGAUGAAAAGCAAGAGCUUUGUCAUCAAUUGGGAGAAUGCUACUGAAUAUGCAUAUGCUGGAGUUACUCAAAGUGUUUCAGACCUAUGGCAUAAACAGUUUGGACACUAUAACCAAAGGAGUUUAGUAGAGCUAAAAAAACUUGAGCUGGUGGAAGACAUGCCAAACGUAUCUAAUGAAGCUCAAAUAUGUGAGAUUUGUCAACAAGGCAAACAAGCAAGGUUGCCAUUCAAAAAUAAUCAAGCAUGGAGAGCCAUUGAAAAGCUUCAACUCAUACACACCGAUGUUUGUGGUCCCAUGAAAACAACUUCUUUGAGUGGUAACAAAUACUUCAUUCUCUUUAUGGAUGACUAUACCAGAAUGUGUUGGGUAUAUUUUAUCAAACUAAAGAAUGAAGUUUUCUCUGUUUUCAAACAAUUCAAAGCCCUUGUAGAAAAUCAAAGCAACUUGAGCAUUAAAAUCUUAAGGUCUGACAAUGGUACGAAAUAUACCUCCAAUCAAUUUGUUGAGUUUUGUAGCACUGCAAGCAUCGAACGUCAGCUAACAACUCCAUACACUCCACAACAAAAUGGUGUCUCAGAGAGGAAGAAUUGAACUGUAAUGGAGAUGUCCAGGUGUCUUCUAUUUGAGAAAAAAAUGCCAAGUAAUUUUUGGGUAGAGGUAGUUAACACCUCUGUAUAUUUGCUGAACAGAUUGCCUACAAAAUCCUUGAAGAACAAAACACCAUAUGAAGCAUGGUAUGGUGUCAAGCCCUUUGUUAAUCAUCUUAAAAUAUUUGGAAGCAUAUGCUAUUAUCAUGUAUCAGAACCUAAAAGAAGCAAGCUAGAUAGUAGAGCUCAAAAGGGCAUUCUCAUUGGCUACGGGACAUCAACUAAGGGCUAUAGAAUAUUCUGUUUGCAAACUAACAAAGUUGUCUUGAGCAGGAAUGUAAAAGUUGAUGAAAUGACAACUUGGGAUUGGAAAAAUAAAAAAGAUGCGCAAUCUGAUGUCGGCUUUAAUAAUCAUGAAGAUUUUCAAACUUCUAAAUCCGUAGAUGAUUUUCCAGUGAGGGGCACAAGAAGCUUGGAGGACAUCUAUCAAAGGUGCAAUUUAGCAAUAACUGAACUAACAAGUUAUGUAGAAGCCAAAGAUUCUGAAGCAUGGAGGAGAGCAAUGCAAGAAGAAUUGAAGAUGAUUAACAAGAAUGAAACCUAGCAGCUUGUGGAGAGACCAAAAAAUCACAAGGUGAUUGGAGUGAAAUGGGUUUUCAAAACAAAACUCAAUUUUGAUGGUUCGAUAUGCAAACACAAAGCUAGGCUAGUGGUGAAGGGAUAUGCUCAACAGUAUGGUGUUGAUUAUUAGGAGACUUUUGCUCCUGUGGCAAGGUAUGACACUAUCAGGCUACUUUUUGUACUUGCUGCUCAAAAUUCUUGGCAUAUUCAUCAGUUAGAUGUUAAAUCUGCCUUCUUAAAUGGAUUUGUUGAUGAAGAGAUAUAUGUAGAGCAACCAGAUGGGGUUGUGGCUCUAGGCAAAGAGGACUAUGUGUACCUUCUAAGGAAGGCAUUGUAUGGCUUGAAACAAGCCCCCAGGGCUUGGUAUGAAACCAUGGACAAGCAUCUGACUAAACUUGGUUUUGUUAGAAGUCAGAGUGAAGCAACCUUAUAUGUAAAAACUAAUGAUGUCCAACCUUUAAUAAUCUCUCUUUAUGUAGACGACAUGGUUGUAACAGGAAAUCAGCCCAAGUUAAUUCAAAGCUUCAAGGAUGAGAUGAACAAAGUCUUUGAAAUGACCGAUCUUGGAGUCAUGAAGUAUUUUUUGGGAAUGGAAGUGAUGCAGUCAUGUUCAAGAAUUUUCAUAUGCCAAUAGAAGUAUGCUAUGGAUAUGCUGAAAAAAUUUAAAAUGCAAGAUUGCAAGCCUGUGUCUACUCCUAUGACAACCAGCGAGAAGUUAAGCAAGGAUGACAACUCCGAGAAAAUAAAUGAAGGCUUAUAUAGAAGCUUAAUUGGUAGCCUUUUAUACUUAACAGCUAGCAGACCUGACAUACUGUUUGCUGUUAGUGUGCUUUCCAGGUUCAUGCACUCACCAAGUGAGAAACAUUUUCAGCAGCUAAAAGAGUAUUAAGGUACAUCAAAGGAACAAUUGAUCUUGGAGUUCAAUUUUCAAAAUCUGCAGAAGGUGGUUUGAAGCUGCUAGGCUACUCCGACAGCGAUUGGGGAGGUUGUGUUGAUGAUUCAAGAAGUACUUCAGGGUACUUAUUCUCCCUAGGCUCAGGUUGUUUCACUUGGAGCUCAAAGAAACAAGAAACCAUAGCCCAAUCAACAGCAGAGGCAGAAUACAUUGCUGCUGCAUCUGCUGUAAAUCAAGCUUUAUGGUUAAGAAAAAUAUUGAAAGACUUAGGGCAAGAGCAAGUUGAAGCAACCAACAUUAUGUGUGACAACACUUCUAUAGUAUCAAUUUCGAAAAAUCCGGUGUUUCAUGGUCGAACAAAGCAGAUAAAGAUCAAGUAUCAUUUUAUUAGAGAAGUUCAAUAAUCCAAUGAAGUGUUACUUGUUCAUUGUUCCUCUGAAAAUCAACUUGCAGAUAUAUUCACAAAGCCUUUACCAAUGGAAAGGUUUGAAGCUCUUAAGUAGAAGAUAGGUGUUUGUCAUCCGGAUGCCAAGGAGGAGUGUUCAGUUGUUGGCAUUCCAGAUUCCAAUCCUUGAAGACUUAGUCUUUGCUGAAGAUUAGCUAAAGUUUGUUAUGACUCUGUUUGUUUUAAAUUUCAAAAAUAGGUGUAACAACCUAAAUAAAUAUGCAGGAAAGAUAGGAAGAUUUUGUUAUUUUUCUUGUAUAAAUAUCUCAUCUCAAAUGGAAUAAAAUUAUCAACUUCUCUCUAUCAUAUCUGUAGCCUUUUCUUCAUUAAGUUGCAGCUUUAUACCUGUAAUUUCUCCAACACCAACUUGUAAGAAGCACUUUCUUUGUCAUUGCUAUCCUAAACCUCCACACAUGGAUCUCAAUUGGCUUAUAAAAAGCAUUUGUAUCAGUAUUUUGUGCAUUCCAUACAUACAACUUCUGGCUGCAAUUCUAUUUUCAUGGCUAAUAUCAAUGCCUCCAUUCAUUUCCUUCUGCUUAUUUUCCUCUCCUCCACUUUUCUCUAUCUUGAAACUGUUAAACUUGGUUCCUGCAAUGGCGUUCUCAAUGUCAGCUGCACCGAAAUUGAGAGAAAAGCCCUUGUUGACUUCAAACAAGGUCUUACUGAUCCUUCCGGCAGGCUCUCUUCUUGGGUUGGCCUGGAUUGCUGUAGAUGGAGUGGUGUGGUGUGCAGCCAGAGGGUGCCUCGAGUCAUCAAGCUCAAACUCCGCAACCAGUAUGUUAGAAGUCCGGAAGCCAACGAUGAAGAUACCGGUGCUUUUGAGGAUGACUAUGGAGCAGCUCAUGCAUUUGGCUGCGAGAUAAGUCAUUCUUUACUUGAUUUGAAAGAUUUGAGGUACUUGGACUUGAGCAUGAACAAUUUUGGAGGACUCAAAAUCCCCAAGUUCAUUGGAUCAUUCAAGAGGUUGAGAUAUCUCAAUCUCUCAGGAGCAUCAUUCGGUGGAACUAUCCCACCCCACCUAGGGAACCUUUCUAGCUUGCUCUAUCUUGAUCUCAACUCUUAUUCUCUUGAAUCAGUUGAGAAUGACCUGCACUGGUUAUCAGGUCUUUCUUCUCUGAGACACCUUAAUUUGGGAAAUAUAGAUUUUAGCAAGGCUGCAGCUUAUUGGCAUCGAGCUGUUAACUCCCUUUCUUCACUUUUGGAACUACGCUUACCUGGAUGUGGCCUGUCUUCCCUUCCUGAUCUCUCUCUUCCAUUUGGUAAUGUCACCUCACUUUCGGUGCUCGAUCUCUCCACCAAUGGCUUCAAUUCGUCGAUACCUCUUUGGUUGUUCAACUUUAGUAGUCUUGCAUACCUUGAUCUCAACUCCAAUAGUCUUCAAGGCAGUGUUCCUGAAGGAUUUGGUUACUUGAUUUCCUUUAAAUACAUUGAUUUUUCUUCUAAUUUAUUUAUUGGUCACUUACCAAGAGACUUAGGAAAGCUUUUCAACUUGCGAACUCUCAAACUAUCUUUCAACAGCAUUAGUGGAGAGAUAACUGAAUUCAUGGAUGGGUUGUCCGAGUGUGUAAACAGUAGUAGAUUAGAGUCUCUGGAUUUGGGGUUCAAUUAUAAACUGGGUGGGUUUCUUCCUAAUUCUUUGGGACACCUAAAGAACUUGAAGUCUCUUCAUCUGUGGAACAACUCAUUUGUGGGGUCAAUUCCAAACUCCAUUGGAAAUUUGUCGUCUUUGCAAGGAUUCUACAUCUCUAAAAAUCAAAUGAAUGGAAUAAUCCCAGAGAGUGUUGGCCAACUCUCAGCAUUGGUUGCAGUGGAUCUCUCAGAGAAUCCAUGGGUUGGUGUUGUGACUGAGUCUCAUUUCUCCAAUCUCACAAGCUUAACUGAGUUGGCAAUCAAGAAGUCAUCUCCAAAUAUCACCUUGGUCUUCAAUGUGAAUUCUAAAUGGAUUCCUCCUUUUAAACUCAAUUACCUGGAACUCAGAACGUGCCAACUAGGUCCCAAAUUUCCUACAUGGCUGAGAACCCAAAACUAGCUGAAGAUAAUAGUGCUCAACAAUGCUAGGAUUUCAGACACAAUACCUGAUUGGUUUUGGAAGUUAGACUUGCAGCUCGAGCUACUGGAUGUUGCCAAUAAUCAAAUGAGUGGGAGGGUCCCAAAUUCAUUGAAAUUUCCUGAAAAUGCUGUUGUGGAUUUGAGCUCCAACCGCUUUCACGAUCCUUUCCCACACUUUUCUUCUAACCUGAGUUCAUUGUAUUUGAGAGACAAUUUAUUUUCUGGACCAAUACCUCGGGAUGUUGGCAAAACCAUGCUGUGGUUGACAAAUUUUGAUGUCUCUUGGAACUCUCUAAAUGGUACCAUUCCCUUGUCUAUAGGUAAGAUUACGGGUUUGGCAAGUCUGGUUCUCUCAAAUAAUCAUUUAUCUGGUGAAAUUCCUUUGAUUUGGAAUGAUAAACCAGAUUUGUACAUCGUAGAUAUGGAAAAUAACAGCCUAUCUGGUGAGAUCCCUAGCUCAAUGGGCAUCCUGAAUUCACUUAUGUUCUUGAUACUGAGUGGCAACAAACUUUCAGGGGAAAUUCCUUCUUCACUGCAGAAUUGCAAGGACAUGGAUAGUUUUGACCUUGGCGAUAAUAGAUUAUCAGGAAACCUUCCGUCAUGGAUAGGAGAGAUGCAAUCGUUGUUGAUUCUACGCCUGCGAUCAAACUUGUUUGAUGGAAACAUUCCCUCCCAAAUGUGCAUUCUUUCCCAUCUUCAUAUAUUGGACCUCGCACAUAAUAAUCUGUCAGAAUCCGUUCCUUUUUGUUUGGGAAAUUUGAGUGGCAUGGCUACUGAAAUCAGCAAUGAGCGAUACGAGGGGCAAUUGUCAGUUGUGAUGAAAGGAAGAGAACUCAUAUAUCAGAAUACUCUGUAUCUCGUGAAUAGCAUUGAUCUUUCAGACAAUAAUAUAUCAGGGAAGUUGUCUGAAAUAAGAAAUCUUUCAAGACUUGGCACCUUGAACUUGUCCAGAAACCAUUUGACAGGAAAUAUACCAGAGGACGUUGGGAGCUUAAGUCAAUUAGAAACUCUGGACCUCUCAAGAAACCAGCUCUCUGGCUUGAUUCCACCAAACAUGGUUUCUAUGACUUCCUUGAAUCACUUGAACUUGUCUUACAACAGACUAUCUGGUAAAAUUCCAACAAGCAACCAGUUCCAAACCUUCAAUGACCCGUCCAUAUACAGGAAUAACCUUGCACUCUGUGGGGAGCCUCUGGCAAUGAAGUGCCCAGGCGAUGAUGGGGCUACUACUGAUUCUUCAGGUGUGGAUAAUGAAGAUCAUGACGAUGAACAUGAAGAUGCGUUUGAAAUGAAGUGGUUCUACAUGAGCAUGAUGUCACGGACUUAGUCGUUUCCUAAGCUCGUGCGGCACUUAGGCAAAUCAAGACGCUUGAUCUUGCUAAGUCAGCCUUACCUCCGACACUUAGCUUGCUAGACUAAGAUGCUCACGACUCGGAAGCUUGAGAAGUUGUAGUAGGUAACUUUUAAAGAAUGGAAGCUCUUAUUACUCAAGGAAGCCUUUACAAGUGCUUGGAAGCUUACUUGCUUGGUGCCUUGGCCAAAUGAGGCCCUCACCUAUUUAUAGGCACCAAUGAAACUCUCUAGAACCUUGGAGGGUUCCUUACAAUUCAUGAAUAUUCUAGAAUGUCCUACACUAUUCUAUGUACAAGCCUAUAUACAGGAGACUUCUAGAUUUCUCUAGAAAGCUUUGGACCUUUCUCAUGCCUUCUACCAUAGUGUAGAGUUGUGUGGACUUCUCUAGGCAUUUCUAGAACCUUCCACACUCUUCCCACUAGUGGCUAAGUGUGGAUGUCUCCAAGGGUCUCUAGAAGCUUCUCACCUCCUAUAUAAGCCAUGGGGAGGGUCAUUUGAAGCAUCUUGUGACACUCUCCCCCACCUAAGCCGCAGACGUCCUCGUCACGUCUUCUGCCCGAAACCGCUCAAUCUGCUCCUGGAACUGCCAUAGUGCAUUUCCUGGCUCCCAGCUAGCCUCGCUUUCUAGUAGUCUCUUCCAUUUCACUAAGUACUCCGUAGUAGGAGGCACACCACGCCUUCUGAUGAUUCGGUCUGCAAUGAUGUGUUCCACCUCCUUGUCAUAGGAGGUCAUGACCGCUGUAGGUGCCCUCUUAGAAAGCCCUCGGCUUGGAUCAUCCUUGUCUUCGUGAUAUGGUUUCAAGUAACUCACGUGGAAGACAGGGUGAAUCUUUAACCUUGGCGAUAACUCCACUUUGUAGGAUACCUUGCCGACCUUUCCAAGUAUAGGGAAGGGUCCUUCAUACCUCCUCACAAGGCCCUUAUGCACUGGCCUUAGGGAUUUGAAUUGUUGAGGAAGGAGCUUGACAAGCACCAUGUCUCCGACCUUGUACUCCGUGUGACGUCGCUUCUUGUCAGCCCACUUCUUCAUUUUCUUAGCGGCCUUGUCCAAGUACGAGCGUGCUAUGUCAGCUUGCUCAUGCCACCCCUUCACGAACUUGAAAGUCGCUGGACUUCUCCCCAUGUAGCCUAUCGUUAGCGUGUGAGGAGUUAAGGGUUGCUGCCUUGUGGCUAGCUCGAACGGGCUCUUGUUGGUCGCCUCACUCCUUUGCAAGUUGUAUGAGAACUGGGCUAUAUCUAGCAACUUAGCCCAAUCUCUCUGGUUGGCACUCACAAAGUGCCUCAAGUACAGCUCCAGCAAGGCGUUCACCCUCUCAGUCUGCCCAUCUGUCUGUGGGUGAAAGCUGGUGGAGAAGUGAAGCUCCGAACCCAUAAGCUUGAAGAGCUCCGUCCAAAAUUUCCCAGUGAAACGCGGAUCGCGAUCACUGAUAAUAUACUUAGGCAAUCCCCAAUACUUGACUACGUGUUUUAAGAAUAGUCUUGUCGUCUCCUCCGCAGUGCAGUCAGUAGGGGCUGCUAUGAAGGUCGCAUAUUUAGAGAACCUGUCCACUACCACUAUGAUAGAGCCGUUGUCCUCUGACUUGGGCAGCCCGAUGAUGAAGUCCAUGGUGAUGCUGUCCCAUGGGCGCUCCGCUAUUGGUAAUGGUUCCAACAGGCCUCUAGGCUGUCGUUGCUCCACCUUGUCUUGUUGACACACAAGACAAGUUCUCACGUAGGCCUCAACCUCAUCCCGUAUUUGAGGCCAACAGUAAGCCGACUCGAGUAAUGCCCUCGUGCGUCGUUGCCCUGGGUGCCCUGCCCACUUGGUGUCGUGGCACUCCUUAAUUAGAUUCCGUCUUAUGUUUCCCCACUUAGGCACGUAGAGUCGUCUCCCCUUAGUGUAGAGUAGGCUGUCCUCCACCCAAAACCGCUUAGUCUUCCCUUCAUGAGCCAGGGCGAUGACGCUCUUAGCCACUGGAUCAUGUUGCAGUCCUUCCCUUAGAAGAUCUAUUAUGUCUCCUUGGGGCUGACUCGUCAUAGACGCUAGCUUGGCUUUGCGGCUUAGGGCGUCGGCCACAUGAUUAGCACUUCCCGGCUUAUACUCCAGCGUAUAGUCAAACUCGGCCAGGAAGUCUUGCCACCUAGCUUGUUUAGGACUCAGCUUCUUCUGUGUCUGGAAGUAGCUAGUGGCCACAUUGUCGGUCUUCACUAUGAAGUGAGACCCUAGCAAAUAGUGCCUCCAAGUGCGCAAGCAGUGGACAAUAGCGGUCAUCUCCUUUUCUUGUACCGUGUAACGCCUCUCCGCAUCGUUUAGCUUGCGACUCUCAAAUGCGAUUGGGUACCUUUCUUUCAUAAGGACUCCCCCAAUAGCGAAGUCUGAGGCAUCUGUGUGUACCUCAAAGACCUUGGUGUGGUCGGGUAGUGCCAACACUGGCUCCUCAGUCACAGCCUUCUUCAGGUCCUCAAAGGCUUGUUGGCACCUUUCAUCCCAUUCCCAUGCCUUAUUCUUCUUAAGAAGAUCAGUGAGUGGAGCAGCCCUUCCCGAAUAACCCUUUAUGAACCACUGGUAAUAAUUAACUAAACCAAGGAAAGAUCUGAGUUGAGGUACCUUGGUUGGUGGAUCCCACUCCUGGAUGGCUUUCACCUUGCUAUCAUCCAUCAUUAGCUUGCCAUCUCUGAUGCGAUGCCCUAGGAAGCUCACUUUCUCCUUAGCAAACGAGCACUUCUCCUUCUUCACGUAUAGCUUGUUCUGCCUCAAGAUCUUAAAGACCUUCCUCAAGUGCUCUUCGUGCUCCUUUAGAGUGUUACUAUAGAUGACUAUGUCAUCCAAGUACACCACCACGAACUUGUCCAAGUAUGGGUGGAAGAUCUUGUUCAUGAGGGUGCAAAACGUUGUUGGGGCAUUGGUGAGUCCGAAAGGCAUCACUAAGAACUCAUAUGAGCCAUACCUGGUCACACAUGUAGUCUUCGGCUCAUCUCCCUCCGCAAUCCUGACUUGGUAGUAGCCUGACCUUAAGUCCAGCUUUGUGAAGUACCUUGCCCUUCCAAGUUGAUCGAACAAGUCAGCAAUGAGCAGGAUGGGAUACUUGUUUUUCACCGUCACCUUGUUGAGUGCCCGGUAGUCGAUACACAUCCGUAGGGAUCCAUCGUGUUUCUUUUGAAACAAGACCGGCGCGCCAUAAGGAGCCUUGGAUGGUUGGAUGAACCUCGCAUCUAGCAACUCCUUGAGUUGUCUUCUUAGUUCCUCCAACUCGGGUGGUGCCAUCCUAUAUGGCCCCAUAGCAGGGGGCUUGGCUCCCGGCUCCAGCUCAAUCUUGUGAUCUUCCUCUCUCCUAGGAGGAAGUCUCUUGGGCAACUCGGGUUGCAUAACGUCCUUGAACUCAUCAAGGACCCCCUCGAUUUCCUUAGGCAUGGGUCCUCCCGACCCAUCAUCCCUUUCUUCCUUAAGGGUGGCGAGGUAGGUCACCUCUUCCCUUUUUAACCCCUUUUUUACUUGCAUAGCGGAUAGCAUAGAGGUCUUGAGCGUACCUUCAAUGACCGUAGGGACCAUGCAUGGCUUCUCCUCCUCUAGGAUAGCCAUUGAGCGUAAGAAAGGUAGUGGCACGGCCUUGACCUUCUGUAGGAAGUCCAUUCCUAGCACCAUCUUGAAGUCGUCCAUGGGUGCCACUGUGAAGUCGACCCUUCCUUCCCACGAGCCAAUGUGCAUAGUCACCCCGCGAGCUACUCCAUGUGAUGGCUUAGCGGUUGAAUUAACUGCCUUGAGCCAUCCUCCUUCCUUGGAUGCUUGGAGCUCCAGCCUUCUUGCCUCAUCUUCCGAGACAAAGUUGUGAGUGGCACCUGUGUCCACCAGGGCCUUGGUGGCCUUCCCAUUCACAAGGGCCUCCACAUACAUCAGCCCCUUGCAUUGAGGCAUCCUAGGCAUCGGCUUGGCCUUAAGGGCAUUCAGGAGCUGCAAUGAUCCCAUCUUAGCAUUGCCUUCCUGCUCCUUCUCCUCGAUCAUAGCAUUUAAAGCCUUCCUCUUAGGGCAGUCCCGUGCCCAUUGCGGACCAUCGCACAAGAAGCAAUUGGUCCUGGGCGUGAACUCCUUUCGCUUGUCCUUGCCUUUGCUAUCCUUGCCACUAGGGCCUUUGCUUGAUCUUUCCUUAGGAGUGUGGCCCUGCGACCUCUUAUCUCCCCCACCUUUAGCCUGGUUACCCUUGGAUGGUGGCUUGGGCUUGGAAGAGUCUCCCCUUCUAUAAUCCACCAAGGACUCGGCUACUGCCAUGGCCGUGGCUAGGUCUUGGACACCACGUCUCCUCAACUCUUGCUCGGCCCAACUUUGCAGGUUGUCCAUGAAGUUAAAUAGUAGCUCCUCCUUAGCCAUGUUAGGUAUCUCAAGCAUAAGAGUAGAGACUUCUUUGACAUACUCACGGAUCGAGCCCGUGUGCUUGAGACGCUUUAAACUCUUCCUUGCUAGGUAAGCCACGUCUUCGGGAUAGAAUUGCCUCUUGAUUUCUCUCUUGAAGGCAUCCCAUGUGUCUAUGGUGCACGUCCCUCUCUCUAUGUCGGCAAACCGUCGACGCCACCAUAGAGUAGCAUUAUCAGUGAGGUAAAGGGUCGCGGUGCGUACCUUAGUGGCUUCAUCCAUUAAUGCAAUGGCCUCAAAGUAACGCUCCAUGUGCCACAAGAAGUUAUCCAGCUCCUUGGCAUCCCUUUUGCCACUGAACGUGUGUGGCUUGGGCACCUCUACCCUUGGUGCCUCAAGAGUGGCCAUGACUCGUGCUGAUACAGCGGUCUUAUAGAUGGCCAACUCUUGUCGAAUCUCUUGGUCUCAGGCCUCCACUCGUGCAGUCAAGGCCUCCAUCCUUGACUCCACACUAGCGAACAUGCUCAUGACCUUGUCUUGGAAGGACAUGAACUCCUCGUGUGACACCGGCUGAACUUGCGAGACCAGCACCCCCUCGCGAAGGUCUUGGACCUGCUCCCUUAGAUCCUUUAAGCCCUUCUUCAUGCCUUGCUCGAUCAAGUCCACCCCUUCCCGGGUGUCUGCCAUGGCUAGCUCCACUUUGGCUAACCUUGCCUCCAUGUUGGCAACAACAUCACGAGAUGUAUCCUUCUUACCUCUGCCCCUGCCCCGUGCAGUAGGCUCGGCCUCCCUCCCACGGGUUUGUUCGCUAGUCUCCUCCACGUUAGAGCCCGACAUGCUUCCCUUAUGCCCGCUUCGUAGCCGCGCUCUGAUACCACUUGUCACGGACUUAGUCGUUUCCUAAGCUCGUGCGGCACUUAGGCAAAUCAAGACGCUUGAUCUUGCUAAGUCAGCCUUACCCCCGACACUUAGCUUGCUAGAUUAAGAUGCUCACGACUCGGAAGCUUGAGAAGUUGUAGUAGGCAACUUUUAAAGAAUGGAAGCUCUUAUUACUCAAGGAAGCCUUUACAAGUGCUUGGAAGCUCACUUGCUUGGUGACUUGGCCAAAUGAGGCCCUCACCUAUUUAUAGGCACCAAUGGAACUCUCUAGAACCUUGGAGGGUUCCUUACAAUUCAUGAAUAUUCUAGAAUGUCCUACACUAUUCUAUGUACAAGCCUAUAUACAGGAGACUUCUAGAUUUCUCUAGAAAGCUUUGGACCCUUCUCAUGCCUUCUACCAUAGUGUAGAGUUGUGUGGACUUCUCUAGGCAUUUCUAGAACCUUCCACACUCUUCCCACUAGUGGCUAAGUGUGGAUGUCUCCAAAGGUCUCUAGAAGCUUCUCACCUCCUAUAUAAGCCAUGGGGAGGGUCAUUUGAAGCAUCUUGUGACAAUGAGGCCUGGAUUUGUAGUGGGAUUUUGGGGAGUUUUUGGCCAUUUGAUAAUAAAUAGGUCUUGGAGGCGAGCCUACUUCCGGUUCCUGGAUGAGAUGAAAGAUAGAGUUAUGGUGGUUAUCACAGAGAAUGUAGCAUGUCUGCAAAAGAAAUGCAAAUAGGAAAGAAAACAUCAUCAAACUUGAACAGAUAUCCAUCAACAAGCUUUCUAGCUAAAAUAACAGUCUCUAUGUGUCAGUGGUUUGCUUCAUGUACUUCCUCCUAACACAAUAAAACAUUGGUUAAUUAAGAGCUUUUCUUCCAACCUUGAUAGACUGGUAUAUCUGCUUGCAUCUGUGGUAUUCUUCUUCUUCUACAGGUUUUUCUUCCUUUUGAUUUAGUGAAGUAGUAGAACCUUAGCCCCCUGCUAGGCAAUCUGAUAACUUUGCUGAACAGUGGGAGAAGUGGAUUACUACCUCGCAUCGAUAUACGAUCUCAACCCCAGAUGAAAGAUGAAAUGUAAGGUGUCAACCUCCAGUUGCAUUUUGGGAUACAAACACCUUACAUGCUUCGUAAUUUUAUGGCUAAAUUGUAAUAUAUGCUAUCAACUAUGUGUGAUACCCAGAGAGCUAAUAACUAUUACUGCUAAAUCAUAAUAUUACUGCUAAAUCAUACUUAACCCCAUGAGGAAAGCUCGGACUCCACUCAUUUUUCAACAAAAAGGCAACGCGAUAGAAAAUCCCAGUUGUCAAAUUCAAUGCGCGUAAGACUAGGCCCAUAAGAGCCUGGGAGACCAAGGCCACCAGCAGCCACAACCUGGGCAGCACGCCCUGACCCUAUGGUCACCCCCAUGGUGCAGAACGUGCUCCCGCACCGUGACCCUAUGGUCACCCCCAUGGUGCGGAACGUUCACUCGCACCUAGUGACGCGACAAGAUGGGAGAAACCUCCCAAACGAGCCACCCAUUGGCUCCAUUAGCAAAAUGCUGGACGACAUGCUCUCCACGCCUUUCUGCUCUCAUAUCAUUCAUUACGAGCCCCCAAGGGGAUUCUUCGUACCAAAAUUUUCCACAUACGAUGGGUCCAACGACCCCUUCGAGCAUAUCAUGCAUUAUCGACAGCUCAUGACGCUCGAUAUUGGCAACGACGCAUUGCUGUGCAAAAUAUUACCCACCAGCCUACAAGGGCAAGCCCUCUCAUGGUUUCAUCGCCUACCUCCCAACUCUGUUGACAAUUUCAGAGAUCUAUCCGAAGCUUUCGUAGGACAAUACUUAUGCUCUGCUCGACAUAAGCAGAACAUCAACACUCUGCAAAACAUAAAAAUGCAAGAUAACGAAUCCUUAAGGGAGUUCGUAAAGCGGUUUGGUCAAGCUGUACUUCAGCUAGAGGCUUAUAGCAUGGAUGCUGUCCUGCAGAUCUUCAAACAAAGCAUCUUUCCAGGCACCCCAUUUUUCGAAUCGCUAGCUAAAAAGCCUCCUACAACGAUGAACGACUUGUUCAGAUGUGCAAGCAAAUACUCAAUGCUCGAAGAUGACGUACGAGCAGCCACCCAGUAAGUCCUGGUUGUUGGACAGGCAACUAGAAGUGGCACAGAAAGAAGUGCCAAACUUCCGGACCGGCCAAGGCCGUCCGAUCGAAGGUAGGAAGGGCCAAGUCGCCCGAAAAGGCCGCCCCUCACAUCUCUCUCCAUAUCAUAUGAGAAACUUCUCCCUAUGAUCCAAGGCUUGUCCGACUUCAGAUGGCCUAGACCCCUCGGAACGGACCCAUCCAAAAGAGAUCAUAACAAGAAAUGUGCCUUCCACAAGGAGUAUGGUCACACAACGGAAGAAUGCAGGUGCCUCCAUUAUUUGGUCGAAAGGCUCAUAAGGGCGGGGCAUUUAAAGCAAUACCUCCGCUCAGAUGCCGGAGGUAGAGACGCUUCCCAAAAUCACAACUCUGGAGCCCCCAAGGCCCCAGCCGCCUCUAAGGCCAUUAUAAACUACAUUAACGAAGGCCCAUCUGAAGAGGAGUAUGACUCCAAACGAAAGAGACAAAAGUUGUUGCGGGCUGCAUCGGUGCGUGAGCGUAUCAACUCCAUCUGACCUGGGUUAACUGGGGGGAGCCCUCGCCCCAUAGAUGGAACAAUCAUUUUCCCACCAGUAGACCCCACCCGAACACUGUAGCCACAUCGCGACGCCCUCAUCCUAUCCCUAGAGAUAGGAGACUUCGACGUGAGACGCAUUCUGGUUGACCCGGGCAGCUUGGCCGAUCUUGUGCAAGCAUCGGUCGUUAGCCACAUGGGACACAGUCUCACGGGCCUUGAAAACCCUGGGCGAAUCCUGUCUGGAUUCAACGAAUCGUCAACUACUUCCUUGGGAGACAUUGUACUGCCGGUCCAAGCUGGCCCAAUCACUCUCAAUGUACAAUUUUCGGUGGUACAAGAUUUAUCGCCUUUCAAUAUCAUCUUGGGGCGCACAUGGCUACACUACAUGAAAGCCAUCCCCUUUACAUAUCAUCAAUUGGUGAGUUUCCUUACCAACGAUGGGCAAAUUGACCUCUAUGGCGGCCAGUUAGCCGCUCGCCAAUGCUACCAGAUAGCACGAGAAACAGGGACCAGCCAGGAGGAUGCAUCCCUCCCUGAGUCCAACCAUGCGCGUGACCAAUAGCAAUUAUUGGGUCCGAUGGACAAGGAUCCCCCAACAGCAGAUCCCUUGCAAACAAUCCAAAUUUCGGAAGAAGGUACUCACCUUACAAAGAUCAGUUCCCUUCUGACACCAGAAGAGACCCGAAACAGGCAGAAUGCCCUCAGAAAAAACCAUGACAUCUUCGCAUGAGCACAUUCUGAUAUGAAAGGAAUUCAUCCCUCCAUCACCUUUCAUAGGCUUAACGUCUUACAAACAGCCAGACCCAUCCGGCAAAAGGUGAGACGUUUCCACCCGAACAUACAAGAAAUUAUCCGGAAUGAGGUUGACAAAUUGCUAGAAGCCGGAUUCAUCAGAGAAGUGGAUUACCCGGACUGGUUGGCAAAUGUAGUGGUGGUACCCAAAAAAGAAGGCAAAUGGCAAGUGUGCGUCGAUUACACCAACCUCAAUAAUGCAUGCCCCAAAGACAGUUUUUCUUUGCCAUGAAUAGACCAAAUCGUAGACUCCACUGCUGGGCAAGGGAUGCUCUCAUUUUUGGACGCCUUCUCCGGCUACCACCAAAUUCCCAUGUCCCCGGCUGACGUAGAAAAAACAGCCUUCAUAACUCCACAUGGUCUCUAUUGCUACAGAGUCAUGCCAUUUGGACUCAAAAACGCUGGCGCCACCUAUCAAAGACUGAUGACAAAGAUCUUCAAACCUCUGGUCGGCCGCAUAGUAGAGGUAUAUAUUGACGACAUUGUGGUUAAAAGCAAAACCCAGGAGGAGCAUUUCCUCCAUUUACAAGAAGUCUUCCAACUCUUAAAGAAGUAUGACAUGAAGCUAAAUCAUUUCAAAUGUGCUUUUAGCGUAAGUGUUGGCAAAUUCCUGGGAUUUAUGGUCAGCCAAAGAGGAAUAGAGGUUAGCCUGGAUCAAGUCAAGGCAGUCAUGGAAACACCUCCUCCCAGGAGCAAGAAGGAGUUACAACGCCUUACAGGCAAGCUCGUCGCGCUAGGACGUUUUAUAGCCCGUUUCACUGAUGAACUUCGACCUUUUUUCUUGGCAAUACGAAAGGCUGGAGCAAAUGGAUGGACGGAUAACUGUCAAAACGCUUUUGAAAAAAUUAAACACUGCCUUAUGCAGUCGCCCAUCCUAAGCAGCCCCAUUCCUAAAGAAAAAUUGUACAUAUAUCUGGCUGUAUCAGAGUGGGCAAUCAGCGCUGUCCUAUUCCGCUGCCCUUCACCCAAGGAGCAGAAACCUAUCUACUAUGUCAGCAGAGUGUUGGCGGACGUAGAAACUAGGUAUUCAAAAAUGGAACUAACGGCCUUAGCCCUUCGGAGUGCCGCCUAGAAGCUUCGCCCCUAUUUCCAAGCCCACCCGGUGGUCGUGCUAACUGACCAACCCCUUCGUAACAUUCUGCACAAGCUAGACUUAACCGGAAGAAUGCUUCAGUGGGCCAUAGAAUUGAGCGAAUUUGGAAUUGAGUUCCAACCUAGAUUGUCCAUGAAAGACCAAGUAAUGGCUGACUUCGUACUAGAAUGCUCUCAAAGGCCCAACCAAUGCCAGGAACCAAAUGAAGAAGAAUGGUGGACUUUGCGGGUCGAUGGAGCCUCACGAUCAUCGGGGUCCGGAGUCGGGCUUCUGCUACAAUCCCCAAUAGGGGAACAUCUGGAGCAAGCCAUCCUGCUGGGAUUCCCCGUUUCUAACAAUGAAGCAGAAUAUGAAGCCAUCCUAUCCGGAUUGGACCUCGCCCUGGCUCUAUCCGUCUCCAAGCUCCGUGUCUAUUGCGAUUCUCAACUUGUGGUCAGACACGUCCAGAAGGAAUACAAAGCUAAAGAUGAGCGCAUGGCGCAAUACCUAGCUAAGGUGAGAGAUACCUUACAACGAUUCACUGAGUGGACGAUCGAAAAAAUCAGACGAAUUGAAAAUGGGCGCGUCGAUGCCUUGGCAGGCAUAGCUGCCUCCCUUCCCAUCAAAGAAGCCAUAUUUUUGCCUAUACAUGUGCAAACCAACUCUUCCAUUGCAGAAACCUCCACUUGCAAUACCAUUGAGGCACGCCAACCAGACAGCCAAGAAUGGACGAACGACAUUAUAAAAUACCUCCGGAUAGGCACUCUGCCCGAGGAUGCCAAACAGGCACACAAGAUUCGAGUGCAAGCCGCCCGCUUUACCCUGAUUGGGGGGCACCUGUACAAACGAUCUUUUACAGGUCCCUACCUUCGAUGCUUAAGUCAUUCAGAGGCCCUGUAUGUAUUAGCAGAAUUGCACGACGGAGUAUGUGGAAAUCAUUCUGGAGGACGAUCUCUAGCGCACAGGGCCCAUUCUCAAGGAUAUUAUUGGCCCACGAUGAAGAAGGAUACAGCAGCCUACGUCAAAAAAUGCAACAAAUGUCAACGACAUGCCCCCAUACCACAUAUGCCGUCGGAGACGCUGAAACCAAUUUCAGGUCCCUGACCCUUCGCGUAGUGGGGUAUGGACAUAGUAGGCCCCUUACCAACCGCACCCGCUCAAAAGAAAUUCAUGCUCGUCGCCACGGAUUACUUCAGUAAAUGGGUGGAAGCCGAAGCAUACGCUAGCAUCAAAGACAAGGAUGUCACCAAGUUCGUGUGGAAAAAUAUCAUCUGUCGCUUCGGAAUCCCCCAAACCAUUAUAGCCAACAAUGGACCACAGUUUGAUAGCAUAGCCUUCUGAAAUUUCUGUUCGGAACUGAACAUCCGGAAUUUAUACUCCACACCGCGUUAUCCUCAAAGUAAUGGGCAAGCAGAAGCCACAAACAAGACUCUAAUCACUGCCUUAAAGAAAAGGCUCGAGCAAGCUAAAGGAAAAUGGGUGGAGGAGCUACCCGGUGUCCUAUGGGCUUAUUGAACCACACCCGGACGUCCGACAGGAAACACUCCCUUCGCCCUCACAUACGGUAUGGAUGCAAUCAUUCCUAUCGAAAUAGGGUUACCCACUAUCCGGACUAAGGCAGGAAAGUAGGAUGAUGCAAACGCGGAGUUAGGAAGAAACUUGGACUGGGCAGAUGAAGUAAGGGAAAACGCAUCCAUCCGGAUGACAGACUAUCAACAAAGGGCAUCCGCUCAUUAUAAUCACAAAGUAAGACCCAGAAGCUUCAAAAAUGGUACACUGGUACUUAGAAAAUUUUUUGAAAAUACUGCUGAAACAGAAGCAGAAAAAUUUCAAGCCAACUGGGAAGGACCCUAUAUAGUAUCUAAGUCAAGUGAAAGUGGAGCUUAUCAUCUACAAAAGCUAGACGAAACUCCAUUACUCAGACCGUGGAAUGUGUCCAAUUUAAAGCAAUAUUACCAGUGAAAAAAAGAGACAAGUACAGAUAUGAAAAAGUAUGUUUUAUUGAUAUUUGUAAAAGUUAUAUACAAAGAGUUCUCCGGACUACAAGAUAUAGAGAGAAGAUAGCAGUAAAAAUUACAAAAAGAAAAGCUCUCAUUGAGCAGGCUUGCUGCGCAGCUUUUCCUUCUCGCCUGGAGGUAUUGAAGGGACGUCCCGCUUGAUUCCAUGUUUCUUCAUACAGUAGCGAUAGUCGAAGAAGUACAUUUCAUCUACUUGCUUCUGGUAGUCCACUUCAAGUUCCUCCCUUUCUGCAGCAAACUCACCAUCCAGCUCCUCUUUUUGCGUUGUUAAGCGCAGCUGCAAAUCUUCUUUCUGCUUUUUCUCAAUGGACAUUUCUGUCCGGAAUUGCCUCACUUCCCCCCUCAGCUGGGCCAUCUCGUCCUCCGCCUCAAGCAGGCGGGCAUCCAUAGAUUCCUCUCGGCUUUUUGCCUUAGCUAGCUCUGCCCAGAGAGCCUCGUUGUCUCCUCGAGCGGCGAAUAAACUGGCUUCGGCCUCCUCCAGUCUCAAGCGCACCUUAUCUUCACUAUUUCUGCACUGAGAGGCGAAGACCUUUAUGUAAUCAACGGUCCGUAGCAAGUCAGUAAACAGAUUAUGUUGUUGGACCAUGCCGCGAAGACCACUCACCAGCUGCAAAAAAACACGCAAAAAGAAGAACAAAGUUACAAACCAUGCCACAAACAUAUCAGUAUGGCAAGAAAAAUUAAGAAGGAAAACUAUACCGUUUCCACCACUUUGAACAUUUUUGCUGAAGGCAUGACAACGUCUGAGUCGGGUGGAAUCUGUUUCAACUUCUCUUCCAACUCCGCAUAGCUGAAAGCAUUAGCAGAGAUGCAAGUUGCAUCAUCAACUGGAUUCCCCCCCUGAUGAAGCAUUGAAGAGUGACUCCUCCUCCGGGUCUGGGGCCCCAUCAGUCUCGGCCGGCUAGGUCGCUCCGGGCGAACCCCCAUCCGGGACCACCACCGGGGCAGGUGGGUUCUCUACUACCAUCUCCGCCUCGCUCUCCUCCGGAUGAUCAUCCUAGACGGACGAGUAACUGACUUCGAUGGUUUCUAAGAACCGAUCCUGAAGCUGCCCGAUGAGGCCAGACUUUAGGUCUCGCGUCGGAUGCGACCUCCUUCUAGCCGACCCUUUCACUGGUACAAGGGCAAGGGGGCUUGGCCCGCAAGAAGGCAAACUCUAGCUCUCUAUCCCCAUUUCCUCCAUUGGGGAUGCCGUAGGAGGCAAUGCUGCAGCGCAAGAAGCCUCGGCUGCGUCCCCAUCCGGAUGGGGAGAGCCGGGUUGAUUUAUUGAAGUAGCUUCUUCAGCUAGAAGAGCCAGACGACCAACCACUGACAUUGAAGGGCCUGAGUGGUUUAGACCCGCGAGAUGUCCGGACCGCUUGAAAUAGAGGGCGGGACCGGGUGUUCCGGCUCUCUUAUUGUCACUUCCUUCACAUAAGUUGAAGGAGGAAUUACAAACUCCUUCGGAGGAGUUGGGGGUUUUAAUUCUUUCCCCUUAUUUGAAACUUUCUUCUCCUUCUUUGCUGGAGCGCCAGCAGGUGGAGACGAUGCGGGCCGCUUGCCACCCGAAGCCUUCCGCAAAAGCCCUUAUUUCCUUUUUACCUCCCGGUUAUUGAGACGGGCUUUGCGGGUCCGGGCGGACGCCUUCUGCACUGCCGCGUAGAGUGGCAGGUCUUGAAGAACGAAGUGCUCCCCAACCACCACCUCUUUAGGCAGCUGCCUUGGGAGUAUGUUCAACAUGUACGGCUGGGGCUCCUGCAUAACCGAACGGAGGUUUUGCGCAGAGAGCAGUGUGUCACAACUCCGUUCGACCGCCGCAAUUUCGAAAAGCCUGUUCAAACGAUCGAACGAGGCCUUCUUCACCCACUCCACCAGUUUUCCCCUUUUAUCCAGGCCUACACUCAAGAAAGUAAAAUAUGUUAGCAACCCAACAAUGCUGACCUAAACUCACAAAUCAUGGUAAAAACAGGAAGUCAUUUAGUCAUACCUGGGACCUUCAACGACUGGUUGGGGGCGAACGGCCUGUCCGGAUGCAUUGCCAAACCCGCCCAUACGCCUUUGACCAACACAUGUCCCUUGGCGGCCCCCUUGGUCGAGUCCGGAAGGCUGGUCACCAAUUGCAGGGACGGAAGGCAAGCGACAAAGCUGAAGAUGUCACUCUUCACCUUCUUGAUUGAAUAGAUGAAGAGAACCUCCAGCAUAACAGGUCCAAAUUGAACAACAUGCUUAGGAUGCUGCACCCCAUCAGCACCCGGACCAUAUUAGGAUGAAUAUACGCCGGAGGAAUUUGGGUGAAGUGCAGAAACUCCUUGAACAAAGACGGUAGGGGAAACCGGAGCCCAGCGUUGAACUGCUCCUUGCUAAAGCAAAUAGCGUGGUCUUCACCCUUCUCAGUCGACACAACCUCCCCAUUAGUCAAUUCAACAGAUACACCGUUGGGGAUACAAAACCGUUCGCGGAAUUCCUUCACACUCUAUUUAUCCACAGACUUCUCGGCAUAAGCAUCGCCAGACAGGCCAGAUGAGGUCGCUUCCUGGUUCCCAGACAUUUUUUAGCCUUGUACUAAAAUGAAAUCUGCAUAGAAGAGGUACCAACAGUCAAAACACAGUAAAAAACCCCCCGAAAAAACCCUCGAAACUACUGACAACACCUAGUGGCAAAACACCUUGCCCAAGCAAACCAGAAACAACCAACAGGACAAAACGCAACAAGGAAAAGACAAGAACAAAUGUACGUACCGAGCGUAAAGAUGGAAGAAUAGGGUUGAAAACUGCAAAUGCAGUCACCGUCAAAACGCAAAAAUCACCAGCAGAAAACCCUAGGGCUUCACUCGGAAACGAAGGAACGCCGAAGGUAGAAGAAGAAACACUAACAAAAAAAUGCAGUAGGAAAAAUGCAAACAGAAGGCACAGUAUGCUAUUUAUACAGUGACAACCCCUCGGUAUACCAAAUGCUCAGCUACGCCAUCAUUGAAACGACACGCUACCUGGGAAUACACAGAGACGACGGCUCAUCAUAAAUGCUCUUCUCUCUCUUUGCCCCCGCUCGCCACGUGGCCCAAUGAGCGCAAAAAGUAACCUCAGUUUCAAAAAACCAAUUAUUUUUAACCCGCCCAUUCUGCUCAGGCAGAUUAGGUAAGUUAAAAAGGGGGGCAUUGUAGGGACCCCUCCUCACACGUGGCACACAUCUCCUGAUGACACGUGACACACAUUCUCAUCCGGAUUAAUCUCAUCCGGAUUUCCCCAAGAGUACACGUGACGCGCUUCUCUUAUCCGGACUCCCUCAAGGAGAGGCACACGACACUCACAAACAUAACAUUCAGAUGACUGCCACAACGCACCCGGAUGACCGACAUAUACUAUCCGGAUAUGUUUGUCCGGAUCAUUGACUGAAGUAAGCAAGUCUUACACGUUAUCACAACAGCCUGCCAUGGCCCACGUUCCGCCACCUGCAGAGUGAAAGGACAGGAAUGAAGUGACGACAAGUCACUUCCCACGAUCUCUGAUAGCCGCGACGCCUCCCACUAUCUCUGUCAGCCACCCGUAGGGUGAUGAUGGCCCUGCCACCACCUAGUGGCAUCAUGAUAAUCCAAAAUAUCUCUUUACCAUUAAAGAGGGAAACAAAGCUUCUGGUACUAUAUAUAUGAACCUUCACACAAAGAAGAAGGUAAGCCUGCUAUACCUAGUAAAAGGCCAACUGAUUUAUCUCUCUUGCCAUGGCUGACAAAACCAUCGGAGGGUCGUCCGGACACCCUGUCCGGACGCCUUUUGCAGGUGCGACUGAAUCAAGAAUCUAUAUGGGUUGAGAUCGUAUGUCCAUCCAUUUGGCAACUACGUGGAUCAUUAGGGACGUGAGGCCUCAACAAUUAUCUCCUCAGGGUUUCUUUUCCAUGAAAUCCUUAAACCAGGCUGCUGCCGUGGUGAUCACCAUAGGGCAGCCUCCUUUGAAACUGAGAGGGUAGUUCUUCUCAAGUUCAAACAAGGCCUUACAGAUUCUUCUCAUCGACUCUCAUCUUGGGUAGGGGAAGACUGCUGCAAAUGGAGAGGCGUCAUCUGCAACCACAAGAGUUUACAUGUCAUCAAACUCAAUCUGCGUAGUCUUAAUGAUGAUGGAACACAUGGCAAGUUGGGCGAUGAGAUCAGUCAUUCUUUGAAAUAUUUGAAUCAGUUAGACCUGAGCCUGAAUAAUUUUGAAGGGACUCGAAUCCCCAAGCUCAUUGGUUCAUUGGAAAAGUUGAGAUAUCUCAAUCUCUCCGGUGCCUCCUUCAGUGGACCGAUUCCUCCACAACUUGGAAAUCUUUCCAGGUUGAUCUACCUUGACAUCAAGGAAUACUUUGAUUUCAAUACAUACCCUGAUGAGUCAAGCCAGAAUGAUCUUCAGUGGAUAUUGAGUCUUUCUUCUUUAAGACACCUUAAUUUAGGAGAAGUCAAUCUAAGUAGAGCUUUUGCUUAUUGGCUUCAUGUUGUUAGCAAGCUUCCUCUUUCCGAGUUGCAUCUACCUAGUUGUGGACUUUCUGUCCUCCCUCGUUCUCUCCCAUCUUCCAAUCUUACAUCCCUUUCAAUGCUUGUUCUCUCCAACAAUGGUUUCAACUCCACAAUACCCCACUGGCUAUUCCAGCUGGGGAAUCUUGUGUACCUUGAUCUCAACUUUAACAAUCUUCGAGGCUCAAUUUUAGAUGCAUUUGCAAACAGGACUUGUCUUGAAAGUUUAAGAAAGAUGGGUAGCCUAUGCAAUUUAAAAACAUUGAUCCUUUCUGAGAAUGAUUUGAAUAGGGAAAUAACUGAAAUGAUUCAUGUUUUAUCUGGGUGCAACAAGUGUAGUUUAGAGAACCUGAAUCUGGGAUUGAAUGAACUGGGUGGUCUUCUUCCUAAUUCACUAGGAAACCUGUGCAACUUGCAGUCUCUUCUGCUUUGGGAGAACUCCUUUGUAGGCUCGAUUCCGAAUUCAAUAGGAAACUUGUCGCAUAUGAAAGAGCUAUACCUAUCUAAUAAUCAAAUGAAUGGGACCAUUCCAGAAACACUUGGACAACUUCAUGAGUUGGCUGCCUUAGAUGUCUCUGAGAAUUCAUGGCGGGAAGGUGUUCUAAUGGAAGCCCAUUUGUCAAAUCUCACAAACCUAAAGGAGUUGUCCAUCGCUAAAUUUGCAUCUCGGUCCAGACCUCAAAUUGGUCAUCCAUAUCAGUACUGAGUGGAUUCCUUCUUUCAAGCUCCAAUACCUGAAGCUGAGAUUGUCAAGUAGGUCCUAAAUUUCCAGUUUGGCUUAGAAACCAAAAUGAGCUUAACACUAUAAUACUUAGGAAUGCUCGAAUAUCAGACACCAUACCAGACUAGUUUUGGAAGUUAGACUUGGAGUUGGAUCAACUGGACCUGGGCUAUAAUCAAUUAAGUGGCACAAUUCCAAACUCAUUAAAGUUUGGUCCUCAAUCCUCAGUUUAUUUGAAUGUGAACCAUUUCAAUGGUUCUUUGCCACUUUGGUCAUCAAAUGUGACUAGCCUAUUUUUGAGAAAUAAUUCCUUUUCUGGGCCAAUUCCUCAGGAUAUCGGGGAAAGUAUGCCCAUGCUGACAGAGUUAGAUCUCUCUCAUAACUCUCUAACUGGAACCCUUCCCGUGUCCAUUGGUAAACUACAUGGUUUAAUGAUUCUGUAUAUCAUUUGUCUGGAGAAAUUCCUGCAUUGUGGAAUGGUGUUCCUAAUCUGGUGGUGCAUGUUGACCUGUCGAACAACUGAUCUGGUGAGCAUCCAACUUCAGUGGGUUCUCUGACCUACCUCAUAUUUUUAACGCUGAGCAACAAUCAUCUUUCUGGGGAACUUCCUUCUGCCUUGCAGAAUUACACAAACAUCCGUACUCUUGAUCUUGGAGGCAACAGAUUUUCAGGAAAUAUUCCGACAUGGAUUGGACAAACAAUGCCAAGUCUUUGGAUUCUAGGACUAGGAUCAAAUUUGUUUAAUGGGAGCAUUCCAUUACAACUAUGCACUCUUUCCUCUCUUCACAUAUUGGAUCUUGCCCAAAACAAUCUGUCAGGAUCUAUUCCCUCUUGCGUGGGGAAUUUAAGUGCUAUGGCAUCCGAAAUUGGAUCAUAUAGAUAUGAGGCUGAUUUGAUGGUGAAAGGAAGGGAAGAUUCAUAUAGAAACAUUCUCUAUCUUGUGAAUAGCAUAGACUUGUCCAACAAGCCUAUCUGGAGAUGUGCUUGGAGGGCUAACAAAUCUUUCAAGAUUAGGCACCUUGAACUUGUCUAUGAACCAUAUAACAGGAAAAAUACCAGACAACAUUGGGAGCUUACAAUGGUUGGAAAAUCUAGACCUCUCAAGAAACUAGCUUUCUGGUCUAAUUCCAGCAGGUAUGGCUUCUUUGACUCUCUUUAAUCACUUGAACCUGUCCUAUAACAACCUGUCAGGUAGAAUUUCAACAGGCAACCAGCUGCAAACCCUGGAUGAUCCAUCAAUAUACAGGCACAACCUUGCACUAUGUGGGCGUCCGAUAACAGCUAAGUGUCCUGGUGAUGAUGGAACCCCCAAUCCUCCCGGUGGAGAUGAUGAAGAAGACGAUGAAGAUGGAGCUGAGGUUGAAAUCAAGUGGUUCUACAUGAGCAUGGGAACAGGAUUUGUGGUGGGGUUUUGGGGAGUUUGUGGCACCUUAGUAGUUAAGGAGUCAUGGAGCCUAUUUUAGGCUUGUCUGUGACAUCAAAGAGUGGCUGCUUCUAGUUAUUCAGUUGAAUGUUACCCAUCUGCAAAGAAAACUGAAUUUGGGAAGAAGCCAGUAUCAUACUUGAACAACCUUCUGGAAUUAAGUUCCCGAAAUAAAUGAAUGCUUCUAUGUAGUUCAGCACUUCAGCUUCAUGUACAACCUUCUGAAAUAUGAAGUUUUGAUUCCAAGUUUUUUCAAACGCUUGGUCUUUUAUUUUUCUAUCUUUUGGUCACAAGUAUAUUUACUCACAUAUCGGAGACUUGCCCAAAAUAAAUAAAUGAGCUAAUAAACAACGAAGGCGAUGUCGGAUUCCCAGCAUUGCUUUGUUUCCUAUCAUCUUUUCAACACAACUCUUGACAGGGAAGCAGAUUAUGAUGAAAAAUUUAAUUAGAAGAAAAAAAAAAGGGUGCAAAUAUAGAAUCAUGGGCACAAUUGUUCAAGCUGAUCACCCACACUCCUGAGCCAUGAUUUAGUCUUUUUUUUUUUUUUUGGUGGCUGAAUCAUCGUACUACUCCAGUGUGCAUCCCUUAAAAUUUUCAAACAAUUUGCACAGGUCAAACAAAAGGAAUCAUUUCGUCCAACACUGAAUGGGUGGCAGCUUGCUUCAUAAUGAGAAAUAGAAAUCCACGAGGUUUCCAAGCUCAUUAUGACACAUUCUAUACUCCAACUACUAUGCAAAAUAAUGAAGUUUUGCACAAGUAUCCCAAGACUAGACCUUUGUAGAGCUCCUUGGAAAAUGACUUUGAAACAUGUUAAAAGCACCUCUUAACACAACCUUUUUUUUUUCCACACGCUUUUUCUCCUCUUGUCCUCUAAGAUAGCUAAAUGGAAGAGGGUCAAUGUCCACUACUGACUUGGGGUCAAUGCUAAGGACAACAACUUAAGAUAAUUAAUCUUGAAUUGUUCAAACUUGCAGUCAACUUUUACCUAACAUACCAACUGGUUUUAGGGUCUAAAAUUCCAAUAUGAACAAGGGUACCACAAAGGUUUCUUUUCAUUGUAGGAGGAGAAAACAUCGUCUAAUAAUUUAUGAUGACAUUCCAUUUCUAAUAAGUACCCUUGUGGACUAAAUUAGAGGAUAUGGUAAAAACUAGGUCUUGCUGCAAUUUAGGUCUUCACUUAAAAGGCUUAAAAGUAAGUCCUAUUGUACUCAAGUUAAAAUAAGCACUUAGAUAUUGGACCCAUUUUAAGGGUAUUGUGGAACUUUGCUCUUCUAAAGUGAGUACCCUAUAUUUGACUAAUUCCUCGCAUGGAGGCAAAGAAUGCUCAUCCUAGCUAGCAGACUUAAAUCUCUCUUAUAAAACUCUCAAAAUGACACUAUUCCCUUGUCCAUGAGUAAAUUAAAUGCUCCAAUAACUAUCUCAAACAAUUAUUUAUAAGAAGGAGAUCUUUACUAAAGAGUGCCUUAAAUUUUUAAUUGGUAUAUAAUCCAUGCUGUAAAGAACAUUAUGUAUAAACUAUAUCAUUAUAAUAAUAGAUUUCUUUAUAAAGUAAGAAAAAUCAUUAUAAUUAUCUCUAUAAAUAUUUUAAGUCACGAGGGAAAAAAUUAUCAUGAGAUGGAGAUGAGUUUGUAAUAACUAUACAUUGUAGAUGGAGAUAAGGGAAAAAGUUGGAGACACUCAGUGAAUCAAGGACUUGCAGUUCAAGGUAUACAUAUAAGGAACGGGAAAACAUGGGAAGUUUCAAGGUUCAAUAAUAUCUGUUUGUUUGUUUUUUUUUCUAUUCUCUAAAAUAUUUUUUGUGAUAUACUGUAAUGAUUUUCUUUCAUCCAUUGAUGUAAGAAUGAUUGAUUGUACUACUGAAAAAUAUGACAUACCUUUAUGUAUUGAUUAUUUUAUCCUUUUGUCACUAAUAUAUAUUAGUAUUAAAGUAUAAUCAUGAACGUUAAAAGCUCAUGUACUUUUAUAUGUAAAUUGUUUUAUUUUUGUGUUAUUAUACUAAUGUGUUGGGAUCAUGGAUGGAAAUAUUGUUUUUCACGAAUAUAUCAAUAAUUUUAUUUUACAUAUAAUAGAUAUAUUGGAAAUAUUAGUGGAUUUAUUAAUACAAAAUAUUGAUGAGAAAAAUUUAAUAAAAACUAAAAAAAAGAAGAAGAAAAGUUUCAAAAAAAAUUGUAGAAAAAGAAAUAAUACAUAUGUUUAAGUUAUUUUAUUGAACAAUAUGAUUGCUAUAUGUACAUCAAUAUUUAAAAAUUAAAAUACAUUAUAUUUAUAUUUUUGAAAUAAUUUUGUUGGAAGAUAUUGAUAAUAUUUUUCUAAAAUAAGAAUUUAUUACAAUCUAAUUUUUUCAAAGUAAGAAAAAAUCUAUAUUUGUAAUGAAUUAAUCAUUGCAUUGAAUUCUAUUUCAUAAUUAGAUUAAAAGUCAAUUUCUAAUAGUGAUCAAAAUUUUUAAAAUUCUUCUUAUUUGACUUUAAGUCCAUUACUACUUGCAAAAAAUUUAAAUUUUUAUUCAAAAAAAAUCUAUAUUUAAAAUUCUAAUAAUAUUUAUAAAAAUUUUUAGAAAAAUUUAUCUUAAAUUCUUUUAAUAUAUUUAGAUUCAUUCAUUUUAAAAAUUAAAAAUUAUGAGAAAUUUAUGAGAUAAUACUGCAGCUCAAAGGACUGCCUUUCUUGGAUGCGAAUCCUGAGCCAUGGAUGAGAAAUUUAACCCUUGUGAAUGAAAUGAUCUUAUCCGGAUUGUUAAUAAUGAGAUUAUUGGAAUGAAAAUGCUUUAUAUAAUUUGAUUAUAUAGGACUGGAACAUGAUUAAUUAUGAAUCUCUGAUAAAUUCCGUUAUAAUAUAGAGCAUUCAAUAUUAAUCAAUGAUGGUCAUAUAUGCAUUGAUCUUAAUUCUGAGUGAUUAAUAGACUCAUAUUUAUUCUAUUGUAUUUUUUGACAUACCGGGUAAUGACACAAAUACAUAGUGUCAAAUUCUUGGUGUAUUGGAAGUAUAAUAAAAUAAAUAGCCGAGAAUAUUAAUAUACAAGAUGAAAUCCAUUCAUUCGUUAAGAAGUCAGAUGGACGGUUGCCAUAAGUAUUGGUUCGGGCCUUGAAUGAUAAGAGCGCUCAAUUUAUGAUUAGACCAUAAAUAUAUUAUUCAUUAGAGAACCAAUGGCACUUAAGGAGAAAGAUAUAAUUAAAGAGGUUAACGGAAAAACCUAGCUUUAAUUAUGAACCGUUUAUGGAGGAUUGACUCAUAUGUAGUGACUAUAUCAAUGGGCAAUUCAAAUCCUUUGAAUAUAUUUAAUUUUAUAAUUUUAAGAGUGCAAUUCCAAAUUUUUAGUGGAGUAAUUUUGGAAUUAAUAAUUUUGAUUUUUUAAUUAAGUUGUUAAUUAAUUGUCAAAAUUAUUGGAGCUUAAAAUUAUAAUGUCCAUAGUUCCUCUCAACGGCUCCAUUAAAAUUAUAUGAACAUUUUUUUUAUGUUGGGUUGAUUUUAUUAGUUUGGAAUUUUGAAUUCUAAAUUAAUUUCACACAAUCUUGAUUUGAUUUAUUUAUUUUAUAAUUUGAUUAUUUAAAAUAUUUUUUGAUACAAUGUGGUGAAGACCAAAUUUACUUGUAUUCCUUAAGAAACACCUUUUAAGUGGGGAUCAUGGGGAGAGAUAUUCUCUCCCAUGUUUUUCAAAAUUCAAAGAAACACUUUUUAAGUGGGGAUCAUGGGGAGAGAUAUUCUCUUCCAUGUUUUUCAAAAUUUAAAAUAUGUCAGUUAUUUUUUUCUUCGUGGUAUUAAAAAGUUUUUUUUUCUCAAUGUUUUUCGGAUGAUGGGAUGAGAAUACAAGUUUUCAAUAUAUUAAGUUGUGUGAUAAAAAAAAAAAAAAACCCAAGAAUGAAAAACGCCCACUCGUUUUGAGUUCAUCAUUUUUUGGAGAACGUUAGAGAAAGAUCCAUGGUGCUUUAGAGGAUUUGGAAUUCUAAGAUCCUUUUGGUGGAGUUCAAAUUUAUCAGCCUAAUCGCAAGGUACAAUUCUAAAUUACCUAUAUUUGUUAUUUCAUUAAAUUAAUACAAGUAUUGAUCAUUGAAAAAAAAAAAAAAAAAUUUUGAGAAAAUUUUUCUGGCUUCCGUUUUUCUUUUAAUUAUCUGGUUUCAAAACCAACACUUUUCAACACAACUCUUGACAGGGAAGCAGAUUAUGAUGAAAAAUUUAAUUAGAAGAAAAAAAAAAGGAUGCAAAUAUAGAAUCAUGGGCACAAUUGUUCAAGCUGAUCACCCACACUCCUGAGCCAUGAUUUAGCCUUUCUCUUUUUUUUUUUUCUUUUUGGUGGCUGAAUCAUUGUACUACUCCAGUCUGCAUCCCUUAAAAUUUUCAAACAAUUUGCACAGGUCAAACAAAAGGAAUCAUUUCGUCCAACACUGAAUGGGUGGAAGCUUGCUUCAUAAUGAGAAAUAGAAAUCCACGAGAUUGCCAAGCACAUUAUGACACAUUCUAUACUCCAACUACUAUGCAAAAUAAUGAAGUUUUGCGCAAGUAUCCCAAGACUAGACCUUUGUAGAGCUCCUUAGAAAAUGAUUUUGAAACAUGUUAAAAGCACCUCUUAACACAACCUUUUAUUCUAGUAUUUUUCCCCUUUUAUUUUCCACAUGCUUUUUUCUCCUCUUGUCCUCUAAGAUAGCUAAAUGGAAGAGGGUCAAUGUCCACUACUGACUUGGGGUCCAUGCUAAGGACAACAGCUUAAGAUAAUUAAUCUUGAAUUGUUCAAACUUGUAGUCAACUUUUACCUAACUUACCAACUGGUUUUAGGGUCUAAAAUUCCAAUAUGAACAAAGGUACCACAAAGGAUUCUUUUCAUUGUAGGAGGAGAAAACAAAGUCUAAUAAUUUAUGAUGACAUUCCAUUUCUAAUAAGUACCCUUGUGGACUAAAUUAGAGGAUAUGGAAAAAACUAGGUCUUGCUGCAAUUUAGGUCUUCACUUAAAAGGCUUAAAAGUAAGUCCUAUUGACUUCCAUUGCCCUUGUACUCAAGUUAAAAUAAGCACUUGGAUACUGGACCCAUUUUAAGGGUAUUGUGGAACUUUGCUCAUCUAAAGUGAGUACCCUAUAUUUGACUAAUUCCUCGCAUGGAGGCAAAGAAUGCUCAUCCUAGCUAGCAGACUUAAAUCUCUCUUAUAAAACUCUCAAAAUGACACUAUUCCCUUGUCCAUGAGUAAAUUAAAUGCUCCAAUAACUAUCUCAAACAAUUAUUUAUAAGAAGGAGAUCUUUACUAAAGAGUGCCUUAAAUUUUUAAUUGGUAUAUAAUCCAUGUUGUAAAGAACAUUAUAUAUAAAAUAUAUCAUUAUAAUAAUAGACUUCUUUAUAAAGUAAGAAAAAUCACUAUAAUUAUCUUUAUAAAUAUUUUAAGUCACGAGGGAAAAGAUUAUCAUGAGAUGGAGAUGAGUUUGUAAUAACUAUACAUGGUAGAUGGAGAUAUGGGAAAAAGUUGGAGACACUCGGUGAAUCAAGGACUUGCAGUUCAAGGUAUACAUAUAAGAAACGGGAAAACAUGGGAAGUUUCAAGGUUCAAUAAUAUCUGUUUGUUUGUUUUUUUUUCUAUUCUCUAAAAUAUUUUUUGUGAUAUACUGUAAUGAUUUUCUUUCAUCCAUUGAUGUAAGAAUGAUUGAUUGUAUUAUGUAAAAAUAUCACAUACCUUUAUGUAUUGAUUAUUUUAUCAUUCUGUCACUAAUAUAUUUUAGUAUUAAAGUAUAAUUACAUUAAAACUUCAUGUACUUUUAUAUGUGAAUUGUUUUAUUUUUGUGUUAUUAUACUAAUGUGUUGGGAUCAUGGAUGGAAAUAUUGGUUUUCACGAAUAUAUCAAUAAUUUCAUUUUACAAAUAUAUUAAGAUAUAUUGGAAAUAUUAGUGGAUUUAUUAAUACAAAAUAUUGAUGAGACAAAUUUAAUAAAAACUAAAAAAAGAAGAAGAAGAAAAGUUUUCAAAAAAAAUUGUAGAAAAAAAAAUAAUACAUAUGUUUAAGUUAUUUUAUUGAACAAUAUAAUUGCUAUAUGUAUAUCAAUAUUUAAAAAUUAAAAUACAUUAUAUUUAUAUUUUUGAAAUAAUUUUGUUGGAAGAUAUUGAUGAUAUUUUUCUAAAAUAAGAAUUUAUUACAAUCUAAUUUUUUCAACGUAAAAAAAAAAAUCUAUAUUUGUAAUAAAUUAAUCAUUGCAUUGAAUUCUAUUUCAUAAUAGAUUAAAAGCCAAUUUCUAAUAGUGAUAAAAAAAUUAAAAUUCUUCUUAUUUGACUUUAAGUCCAUUACUACUUGCAAAAAAUUUAAAUUUUAUCCAAAAAAAUCUAUAUUAAAAAUUCUAAUAAUAUUUAUAAAAAAUUUUAGAAAAAUUUAUCUUAAAUUCUUUUAAUAUAUUUAGAUUCAUUCAUUUUAAAAAUUAAAAAUUAUGAGAAAUUUAUGAGAUAAUACUGCAGCUCAAAGGCCUGCCUUUCUUGGAUGCGAAUCCUGAGCCAUGGAUGAGAAAUUUAACUGUUGGGGAGCAUGCAGAUGCCAAGCCACAAGUUGUUACCCUUGGUGAAGUGGAAAAGGUUGCCCGCCUUGUAGAUGUCCUGAGAAACACCACGCACAAUGGUUUCCCGGUUGUAGAUGAAGGGCUGGAGCCACCGGUUGGUCUGGUCAUAGGAGCAACUGAACUGCAUGGAAUUGUGCUAAGAGCACACCUUGUUAAACUGCUGAAGAAGAAGUGGUUCCUGCCAGAGAGAAGGAGAAGAGAGUGGGAAGUGACAGGGAAAUUUACCCAGCUAAAUCAUUUUUUUAUUCUUUUCUUUUUUUGUGCAUACAAUGAUAACAAUGGCCUUCUUGUGAGAGAAACUACAGUUUUGAGGUAAAUAUGACUAACCUGAUUGUUUCCUUCACUUACAGGUGUCUCCAGUAGUUGGGAUCUUGACCAGGCAGGAUUUGAGAACCUACAACAAGUUGACAGCCUUUCCUCAUCUAGCCAAAUCCAAGGAAAGGGAUAAGGGAAACUGAGCAGCUUUUACGGAGCAUUAUCUUAAUUUAUUUUUCAAUAUUAUUGUAGAAUUUUGUUCAUUCAAAUUAUUGUUGUUUACAAGUCAUUCAGUCAGUAAUAAACAACAAGUUCCUUUUUCACAACACUAGAAAAACAGAAAUUGAUUCUUGGUAUUUCUUCUGUAGUAAAAUAUUGAAAGAAUCCUUCAUUCCUUUUGCUCUGCCACAACCUAACCUCUAGUCCCGUUGAUCGUUUUUCAGCUCCAACGCCACAUCAGUAACUAAAAUAUUCCUCACAAGGGUUUCUUCUUCCUCUUUCCUGACUUCUUUUUCUUGAGACCUACUCCUGGGCCCCUUUUGAACACAGCCAAAACCUCGCUCGAUGCUGCAAUCAUAGCCAAACAUCAUUUAUAAUAGUUAAUAAGCAAACAAAGGAAUGAAUGUAAUGUGCAUAUCAUGGCAUACAUCAGAACUAACAUGUAUUCACUUUAAGUUGCUCAAGUCAAUCAGGUAGUUAUUUUCCAUUAAGAACCAAGUAUGCCAGUACUGGAACAACAAAAAGUUAAGGGAUAAAGUUUAAAUUGCGUAAUGCAAUUUUAUGCACCUGUAUCAUGUAUGGCAUAAAUUCAAAUUUCUAGUACAUAUUCCCCUUUACCCUAAACGCAGUGAAAUAGAUUCUUUCUUCUGGAAAUUGCUAUAUGCCUAUGUUAGGAUGACAAAUCAGUAAAUCAUCAAAUAAUGAAGGCAUUUAGUUAAUCCAAGAAGUUCCCAAGAGAAAAUUUCAUAGACAGUCUACAACUGAAAAUAUGUUCAAAGCCACCUUAGUGUAAGAGACAAGCUUGAUGCCCACUCAUAUNNNNNNNNNNNNNNNNNNNNNNNNNNNNNNNNNNNNNNNNNNNNNNNNNNNNNNNNNNNNNNNNNNNNNNNNNNNNNNNNNNNNNNNNNNNNNNNNNNNNAAUCACAUGACAAAUAUCCAAGAUCUCUUUAGAGAACUUGAUAGAACAACUAUUUCCAAAGUCAGAAUUGGAAAUGGUGAGUAUAUUCCAGUGAAGGGCAAAGGAACGGUUGCUAUCGAAAGCCAAACAGGUUUGAAACUCAUUUAUGAUGUUUUGUUUGUGCCUGACAUUGACCAAAACUUACUCAGUGUUGGACAGCUCGUUGAGAAAGAAUUUAAAGUUUAUUUUGAAGAUAGGAAUUGCAUUAUCAAGGAUGCUGAAGGCAAAGAGGUGUUCAACAUAAAAAUGAAGGGCAAAAGUUUUGCCUUGAAUUUACUGGAAGAUGAGCAUACUGCUAUUUUACAACAAGAUAGCACAACAAUGUUUUGGGACAGAAGGGUCGAGCACUUUCAUCAUGAUGAUGUGCUCUACAUGAAGAAAAAUCAAAUAGUUGAAGGACUUCCUGACUUAGAAAAAGAUCUUCCUAUAUGUGCUACUUGUCAAUAUGGGAAGCAAACUAAACUUCCCUUUCCAAAGAAAAUAUCCUAGAGAGCAACCCAAAAACUGCAACUGGUGCAUACUGAUGUUGGUGGAUCUCAAAAAAUGUCAUCCUUGAAAUGGAAUGCAAACAAUGUUUGGUGGAUCUCAAAAAAUGCCAUCCUUGAAAUGGAAUGCAAACAAUUUUGGGCUAAAACUGCAAGUAGAGCAGUAUAUUUUCUGAACAUAUUGCCAACAAAAAUGUUAAAGAAGCAGACCCCUUUCGAAGUUUGGUUUGAGUGUCUAUGUGCAAGACUUGGAGUUUGCAUCUACGAAGUCAAGGAGGAGUGUUGAAUUUUGACUUAGUAUUUGCUGGAAUUUGAAUUUUGAAUAUUGCAGCUGGAGUCUUGCACAAAAUCUGCAACAUCUAGAUAUUUUCUUAUUUUUAUUUGGUCAAGAUUUGGUUUCUAUUUUAUAGGAAGUAGUUGUUCAUCAUCUAGUAGCUUGAUUUUCUGCUAUUCUAAUGUCAUUUAAGUUACAAGUUCAUGUAUAAAUUCAGCAUUCUUCAAUCAAUAAAAUAAGUUCCAGCAGCCCAAAAUAUAUUUUUUGUAUAAGUAUUUAAUCUUAUACCAACACCAACACCUACACCUUUCUUGUCAGACGGGCUACAUUCAGUGCCACAGCCAGAAGGAGCCUAUCUUUCAUUUUGUUGACAAAGCGAAAAUAAGCAUAUCUCCAUGACUUCUUGAUCACUAAUGUGCCACAAACUCCCCAGAGUCCUAUGAUGAAUCCCAGUCCCAUGCUAACAAAGAACCAUGGCAACUCAGAGUCAUCUCCAUCUUCAUCAUCUUUGUCUUCUCCUUUCCCAGUUGGAAUUGUUCCAUUGUUGUCAUGACACUCGUUUGUUAGAGGAAAUCCACAAAGUGCGAGGUUUCCCUGGUAAAUAGACGGAUCAAUCAAGGUUUGAAACUGGUUGCCUGUUGGGAUUUUCCCUGACAAGUUAUUGUGUGACAGAUUCAGGUGAACCAAAAAGGUUAUGGAAGCCAUGCUCAUUGGAAUUGGACCAGAAAGUUUGUUUCUUGAUAGGUCGAGAGUCUCCAACCACUGCAAGUUUCCAAUCUUUUCACGUAUAGUUCCCCCCAAAUUAUUGCUGGACAAAUUCAAG
rnacentral:lncRNA from 1 species